rnacentral:lncRNA from 1 species
AAAAUUUUGAGUGUGUCCACUUUGAAUUUCAAAAACCUAUCAAAAUAUAGGGAUUUAUGAUUUCAAUAUAAAAAAAUUAAAAUAAAAUAUAUUCAAAUUAAAGUAUCAUAAAAACCUAGAUUGUGUAUAAUCUUUGCAAAAUCGACAAAUACUUAACCAAUAUAAGAGGGGUGUAUUGGAUUGGGAUUUUAAAGCAUUUUUUUGAAUUCAUGAAAUCCGAGGGUAUUCGAUUGGGAUUGUUUGAAAUCCAUUAAAAUCUUGAGGUAUUCAAUUGAGAUUUUAAAUUAUGCUACAAAAUCUGAUGGUAUUCAAUUGGGAUUUUAAAUUAUGCUUUAAAAUCCGGGGGUAUUCGAUUGAGAUUGUUUGAAAUCCAUUAAAAUCUGAUGGUAUUCAAAUGCUGAUGGAUUUUUUUUCAUUUCAUAAAAUGAUGGAUUUUGUGGCAUUCUUCAGUGUAUUUUAAGUUUUUUGAAAUCCCACCAAAUUCAAUGGGAUUUUGAAGCAUUGUACCUAAAUCCUAUCAACUCUGCGACAUUUCGUCAAGAAUCCGCACAAAAUCAAAAUCCCAUACAAUCCAUUAAAAUCUAUAGACUCGGGGGUGUAUUCGAUUGGGAUUUUAAUGCAUUGUUUUUUGUGAAAUUCUAUUUGGUCCUAACACCACUUUUAAUAUUAAAAUUUAAAAAUAAUAAAUUAAGAUACCAAAUUUUGAACGCAAUCACAAAAUGUGCAAUUCCGUUUGCGUCCCGGUUACUCUAUUAGAUUUUUUAAAUGUAUGUGUGUAUUUUUGUUCCAGUUGUGUUAACAAUGAAAAAAUUAAGAUUUUAAUGAAAAAUUAUGUAAUAUUUUGGGACUAUAUGCUUUAUUAAAUAGGCUAGAGAGUCAUUAGAGAAAUGACAAAUACUCUCAAAAAAACUAAAGAAAUUGACUAUAAGAUAUUGCACAUUCUGUAAUGACUUUCAAAGUUCAAUAGCUCAAUUGAUUUUUUUUUUAAUUCUAAUAUUAAAAAUCUUUAUAAUAUUAGAAUGCAAAUCUUUAUCAUCAAGUUUAAAUUUUAAUAGAAGAAUGCAAAAACUUCAGUUUAGAUACGAUAGAUAACAUGAUUUGGAACUCUAAAUGUAUGUGCAAGUAGCUUGUAUAUAACAAAAAACAGAAUGGGGAAGAAAGAAACUAGAAGAUAAUUAGUAGAACUUUUAUAUGAACAGCAUGUCUGAAGGGCUUCACAUAGUUAAUAUACACAUAACACACUCCAGAGAUAACAGCAAUUACUUGGACAAGAGACUGGAAAUGAGAUUAUUAUGGGCAGGAUCAGAUAUGUGUUCAACAAGAUUUUGUAUAGGACCUUUACCAGUAACAGCAGCUUGUGCAUAAAAACCAAGCCAUGCAAUCAUAGCCAAUCUCCCAUUUUUAAUUUCCUUCACCUUCAGCUCCUCAAAUGCCAGUGGAUCUCUAGAAAGCCCCAAUGGAUCAAACAAGGCACCUCCUGGAUAGUUGAUGUCACCCGGCAAGUAUAUUCCUAAAGGCUCGAGAGCUUCUAUCCCACAGUAUCUCGCGUAUUCUGGUCCAACCUAUGUAUACAUAUAGAAAGAUUGUCACAAAUAAAACUUAUUGAUGAAGAUUAAUGAAAAAACGUUUUUUGAGUGGUAUGGCUUUUUUUACCACUUUGCUUACCCAAUUGAAAAUGGAGUAUCCCGUUUGUUCUCAAGAAUGGGUGUCAAAGAAAAUGGUACGAAAAUAAUCGGAAUACUCCAUUUCUAGAUGGGUAUCAUGUACAAAAUGUGAUAACCAACUCCCAAAUGGGUAUCCAAAAUGGUUUUUAAAAAAAAAAAAAGGAUUUCACCGAAAAAUGGUUACCUCUUUUUUUUUUUAGAUGGAAAAUGUGGUAUAAUUGGCCAAUUCCAUGUUUUACUAGUCAAUUGGCAUAACAUAAAUUCUUUUCUACUCUAUAUAUUCUCUACAUAUAGCUUUUAUUUAGUUGACUCUGGACACAAGCAUUGUAUGACCUUUUUAUGUGCUAGGCUGCUAGCAUGCUUCAGUUAAACAUAAAAGACUGUUUUAUGUGCUAGCAUGCUUCAGUUAAACAUAAAAGACUGGAAAUAAUUUUCACUGUUCAACAAAUCAUUGUGGUGUAAUUACUCAAGUGACUAUCAUGACUUUGUUGUGCUCUUCGGGGAAAAUUAGAGUGGCAUAGCCUCAGUAAAUAAGACAUCAAAUAGCACCAUACAGAAAACCUCCAAAAUGCUUAUUAUCUUCUCCAAAUCUCAAAGAUAUAAUAUGCAAAGAAAAUAACAGGUGCUUAAAGAAAUUAUAGGAGACAUGAGACAAUAAACCACAAUACACAUAAAAAUGUCUGCAAACUGCAAAGCAUUGGUAAGAACUAAAGGUAACAUGUCAAAUUAGGAAAUCAAUAUGCAAUCCUUAACACCCUAAAUAAAAUGUUUUUGCAUUGACAGGUGAACCAAGUAUCACAUAUGCAGAAAGAGAAAGAGAAAGAGAAAAGUGAAUAUGAUUUUUAGUAGGAGAGUUUACUGAUACUUGGGUGGGCUAAUCCACUAAUUCUUUACCUUAAGCCUAUAUAUAUAAAUGAAUUCCGGCAUUUGCUUAGGUUGCUAAUGAUUGAUGAUUACAGAUAUACUCUAAAUGUUAUAGGCACACCAUUUUUGUAUCUAGGUAAUGCAUCGCAUCAAAUCUUUAUUUAGGAUGCUGAUGAUUAAUGAUACACCACAAAAGAUUAUAAAAUCGUAUCUGGAAAAUUAAAAACACUACAAAAGACUUGUAUAAAAUUUGAGAUCAUUACCAUCAGAAUGGCUUGGCAGAUUGCUAUGACAAUGACGCCUUGACUACCAGCUAAGUGGAAUCCAGGAAUGCCGAGGUAGUCUAAUGUCUCCCCCUGAAAUACGAUUCGAAUAAUGGAUUGACAAAUUGCAUCAGUAAUUAUGCUACCGAGUCCUCCCUUCAGAUCUUUCAUAUUUUCAUUUUGUAUUGUCACACUUCAUGUAUCACACUGUGCAUGUAGAAUUACUAGAAACAAUGAAAAAUGAAGCAAGAUAUAAAGAUAUGCAGCAUUUCAGUGACAGCUCGUACUAAUGAAAUUAUUUGUGUCAGAUCAGCGACCUAUGUAAUUUUGACGGAAGAUUAUGAAGAGCGGAGAGCUAGCCAUUACCUGCAUUCAAAAUCCUGAAGUUUGAACCUUGGGACUUCUCGUAUGUUGUUAUAAGGGCAAAGGUUUUUAACUUGUAUACAACACCCCACGUCCCCACCCCACCCCAUAGCAUUAUAAGAAAACCAACUGUUUUCAACACUACCCGAUUGUCUUGUGCACACCAUUCUCUUAAACAGUUCUUGACCACCAAAUUUAAAAAACGGAAAUAAAUUUUGCUCACGUGUAAGAAAACAGGAUAUAAAAUUUAAUUUGCAUUCUGUUUUUGUGUGACAUAUAGACCUUGAAAUAUACUACAAAUUCAAACUUGAAAAUCUGGAUCUUUUAAAUUUAUAAUUGAUGAAAAAUUUGAAAAAAUAAAUAAAUAAAGUAAGAGUACUUCUGUAUGCCUGCAAGAAUUCAAGGGUAUACAAAUUGUGUUUUAUGGGAACACCAAGCCUAAUCUUAUACACAUAUUAGAUUUCUGUCCAUCCCCUCCUGCCCGUCUAAUACAUCAUUAAGAAGCCUAAAAAUGAAUAUUAAAUCAUAAAUUUUUCUUAAAAUUUUUACCAUUAUAUCCUAACUUAAUUAGCUCAGAAAAUAAAAGUGAACAAGAAUAUCUUGUGAAAUUGGGUUAAAUUUCGAACUUUUGGGUUGAAUUUAAGAUGAAGAAUAGAACAUUAGCUGUAGAACAUUCAGAGAAUAAGAAAGAAAUUCAGAAAUUUAAGAGAAAUAGGUACUAAAGAGAAGUUUGAAGUAAACUACUACUGGGGCCCGGGUUUCUAGUAUCUAUUAAGCAUUCACCUGCCCGGUUAUCCUACUCAAGCUUACUUGCAUACGACUUUAAUACCCUCUAACUGUAGUGUGGGCCUUAUACAAAAUUCUGCAAAUUAUUAAACCAAUCAUCUACUCUGACUAUUGUUCCCACAUGGUCUUUCUAACUUAUCUGUCUGGGUAUACUUAUUUUUUUUUUUCUUGUUAUAUAUUAGAACUUUACAAUCAUAAGCAACAGAAAAUCUAGACAUUGGGGUGCAUUUUGCAGAGUGCAUGCAACAAAAAAUUAUCUAGACUACAAUUUAAUGUUAAAUAUAUUUGAAAGUCUAAUAAGAUGUAAAAACUAUCACAUUUCGUAUAUACGUCAAUGAGACAAAAAAAAUACCAAGUGGGAAAUUUUUGCAUCACAGAUGUAAAAGUAUAGUGGGAAAUCAUAGUGUAACAAUUUGCAUUAAAACAAGCAAAGAGGUGUAGACAUGCAUGCUCAAGGGGGAGGGGGAAAGAAGAUGGUUCCUGAGCGCACCAGAAAGAAGAAAAGUACCUGAAGCUUAGAAUAGCCUACCCUCCACCAGACAGGUUCGAUGAAGUCAAAGGCUCCAAGUAAGUCUAGUAAUUCUGGAAUUAAAGCGCCAAGAGCAGCAAGCAUAGCCCAUCGAGCAUGCAAUAUUUCAAAACUGUAGACAUAAAGAUCAAGGCAUUGAACUUAAAUGUCAUACUCCCCCUCAAAUCUGAAAUAUAGAUACAUUUUCCUUUUCCUUGAACUACAAAAUAAGAGAAAAAAUUUUAGUUUCCAUAUAUAGAGAACAUAAUGUUACAGAUAUUUCUUCAUUCAUUUAUUACGGAAAGUACUACUACUUAAUAUUAAUAAACAUAGCUGAUGGUGGGUUUAGAUUUCUAGUAUAAUCAUAAAAAAUUGAGACAGCAGUGCUAGACCUAUUUGUUUGGAAGUUUGGCUCCGUGAUAUGAAUAUGAAAUUCAACUGCAGUAGUGCAGUUGCCUAGUAUAUUUAAUUAUAUACGUUGGGCACUAUACUAUCAUAAUAUAACCAAGCCUGUAGUAUUAUUAAUCUUUUUAUGUUAUAGGUUACGUGAAAGCUAUUAUAACUUACUGAUAUAGUAGCACAGUGUACCCAUGGAAACAAAUGGCCAGAAUAAGAUAUUAGUAGUUGAGUACAUACUUGAAGAACUUUUGCAAAGCCACUGGGUCCUUGCUUAAACCAGCAACAUCAAAGCCAUAAUCACCAGGAAGUUCUCCAUCAAGAUAGACAGGAUACUCAUAUGGAAUCGGACCAAGCCAUCGAGGGCGUUCUUCUCCAUACCACGAGCUGAAAAUAUUAAGUAAUGUCAGAUAAUGAGAAAGAAGGUUCUUAUAUAUGCACAAACUUCAUUUUGUUCGCCCUGCUACGAUGCAUAUAGAAAGUAUGAAAACAUUGUGAUUCUAUCACGUACAAAUUGGUAAUUCAAAAUUUGCAUUUUUCUAGUUAUCCACAUUCCAAGUUUUUGUAUUGGGUUACAAUAAAGUGAGGGAAAGACUAUGCAUAAAAAUUAUUACUCCUCUGUCUAAUACUAAAAGUAAAAUUUUUUCAUGUAAGUAUUUAAUUUUAUUGCAAAUAGAAAACACAAAUUAAUAGUGUACCAAUACUUUUAUACACCUUAAACUACCAUCAUAAUGUAAGGCAGUCGCAUCAAAUGGGAUGGACAAAUCAGGAAAAUUUAUUAUAGGGUCAGCAGCACUGGAUCAGAAAAUGCAUACUCAGGCAUAAGAACUUACAGAACUACAGUCUAGUGUUAAGGAAAAGUGUGGUAGUUAAAAGCGCAACAACAUUAUUAAGUGAUUAAAGACGCAAAACAGGUACUUAUGGAACUCACUUGACCAUGCACUAAAAUCAUUAUUAACUUUGCGAAGAGAUAAUUAUCUAAGAAUAACAUUUAAGACACCCAUAGGCAUAAGUCUUACAAAGCUGAUAGACCUAAUGAAACAUCAUAAUCAUUUCAGCAAUAUAAAGGGUCCCUAUAGUGAAAAAUCUAUACGCGGAGUUGCCAUUUGGGAACUUAUACUGGGUUGGAUUUCUAUGAUCAAUGCAAGCUACCACUUCAAUACCCUGAAGUUUGUGUGGAAUGUUCACCAGCUAAAUAAGCAUCUAAUGCAGCCAGGGACUCAUGUCUUGGCUCCAUUUUGGGCAAAAUUAUUGGCAAUAAGUCCAAUAACAAGUGCUAGUUAAAAAGUACAUCGAAAACUUAAGUUUAAGUCAUCGACAUCUAAUCACAAUCUAGGUCUUCUGGUACUGCCACACGUUUGGUACAAAAAAUUGUGCAGCUCGAGUAUUUCCAUCAACCACUUCAUCCUCCCACAAUUUUUUAUAAAUUGUAGAACCAAGUAGCACUUGAGGAACUAUACUAACAUGGGUAAUCCAACAAUAUUCAUUAAUCAACCACCCAGAAUACAAAAUUACCAUUCAAACAAAAAAAAGUCAUAUCUUUAUAUAUGUCUGAGCAUUACCUAUCAGUUCUUGCCUGCUGAGAAAGCUUGUUGAAGUUAGAAGCAUUAACAACCUCAAUCUUUUUUCUCUCCUCUAGUCUCUUCUGUAGAGUCUCUCCAAGUGGGCUGUUUGCUAUGGCUUUCACAGCAGUGAAUGGAAUAGCAGAAAACAACAACACCCCAGCAAGCUUAAACAAAAUCACUUUCUAUUAUUCAUCACAAUAUAUACAGAGAUACAAAUAAAAAUGAUGAUAUUGCAACUGCUUACCUCUGACCAAGAAGCUUUUGUGCGAGCAAAAGGGUGUGUGAAUUUAGGACUUCUAAGUAUCCUGUGGGAUUUAGUGGCUAUGAAAUUUGAGGCAAGCAGUUGUGAGGGAAAAGAAGAGGAUUGGUGUGGUAGAGCCAUUGGUGGCAAAGUUUAUGGUCGCUAAGUACAUUCGAACCUAUCGAACAUGAUUUUGAGGGGCGCAUUCAAUCGAUUUUAAUGGAUCGUUAUUUUAAUGGAUUGCAGUUUGAUUUUAAUUUUGCGUGGAUUAUUGAUAAAAUGCAGCAGAUUUGAUGAGAUUUAAACACAAAAUUUCAAAAUCUCAUGAAUUUUAUUACGAUUUCAAAAGACUUAAAAUACAUCAAAGAAUCUCACAAAAUCCCAAUUGAAUACCUUAGGAUUUCAAAAAAUCACAAUCGAAUACACUCAGAUUUUAUGAAUGGAAAAAUAAUGUUUUAAAAUCCCAAUUUAAUACACCUCUCUUAAUUUUUAUCUCCUUGAAAAACUAGCUACAUCGGGGGAAUGUGAUCGAAAACUGUCCGCAACACACCAAAUCACAUUUGAAAAAUGAUUUUUAAUUUUCACAGUGCGAUUGCGUUUUGAAUUUUUCACAAACUGAUGUGGUGCGAUUCAAAUCGUACCACAUCAUGAUAUUAUAACAUAUAUAAAUAUAUUAGUAAUUGUCAAAUAAAAUUAUAUUAUAAAUACAUUUAUAAUAUUUAUAUUUAUAUUUUGUAAAUAUUUGUUAAAUUUUUUCAAAUGAUAGUUAAUUAUUAUUUUACAGAUCUCGCAUUAUUAUUAUAUCAAAUUUUUACAAAAUGAUUAUAUCACAUGUCUCUUAGUACUCACAUUUAUUAUUAUAUUUGCACUUUCUUUUUUAUUAUUUUGGUAGUUGUUAUAGUUCUAAAAUGAUAAAUAUCAUACAAAUUUAUCAUCAAAAAAGUUCUAAUUAUUAUUUUUAAUAUUAAUUAAAACUAUUCAGUCUUGAGCAUACAAAUCGCACCGCACCAAACCAUAUUUUUGUGAUGGUGUUUACGCGGUUUUUCUGCUAACGCGGUAUAGUUGUGGCUUGAAUUUUCAACCAAUUCGCAUGUGUAGUUUGGUUCAUAGUUUUAGAAAAAGAAUGUAUCGCUCGCACCGCAUCGCAUUUUUGUGAUGUGAUUUACGCGAUUUUUAUGUUAGUGCGGUACGUGCGGUUUGAAUUUUCAACCAAAUCGAAUAUCAGUUUGGUUAGUGAUUUUAGUGAAUAUAUAUUGAAUGUAUAAAUGAUAAAACGAAUUAUGAUAUAUAUUGAAUGUACAAAUUAUAAAAUAGUUGCGAGACUUUCUUCUCAAAUAUCUUAAAUAUUGUGAUGAAUGAUUACAUGUUUUAUUAUAAAUCAUUUAAAAUUAAAAAAUAAAUUUAGAAAUAUUAAUUUCAAAAAGUAUUUUAUUCAAUUAAUAAUCUUGAAGUUGGUGUAAGGAUUGUAAUGAUUUCAUAUGAUGAAUAAUAUUUUAAAAAUUAAUAAAAUAUUAUAGACAUACCAAGUCGUAUGCGUCUUGCGAGAAAAGUAAAUAAAAACUUGCUCGGUUUCAACUUUCAACUGCAUCAGAAUUCAGAGGGUAUAUAUGUACAAGUAAAAUUGAUUUGCAUAUCAAACCGCCUGUUUAAAAACAAGAUAAAAGGGGCUAGUAUGUCGCGGCUUCAGUUUUAGGGUUCUCAUUCUCACUCUUUCAGAUCUCGGAGCAGUCGGUACGGUCACUUCGGCUUAUUGACAUCCAUAAACUUCCGUAAGUAUACUGGUUGAUAUAUAUUUUUAUAUCACAAUAUCAUUAUUCUGUGCACAUAUACUUACAUACACGCACACAUAUAUUGAUAUAUUGUUUAAACCCUAGAUUCUAUGUUUUGAUUCGAUUUUGGGGUUUCUGAUUGUGAUUAUUGUGUUUAUGUGUUAAACAGAUUUGUGGGGUUUUCGGGGGUUUGAGCCAAGGAGAUUUCGUGGGUUAAGUGUUUGAGGAAUUGUCUGACAGAGAUUAGGUGUUAUUUUGGUGAUUUUGAGGUAUGGCGAAUUUGGGGGGUGGUGCGGAAGCGCACGCUCGGUUUAAGCAGUAUGAGUAUAGGGCUAAUUCGAGUUUGGUGUUGACGACGGACUCGAGGCCUAGGGAUACUCAUGAGCCUACUGGGGAACCUGAGUCAUUAUAUGGGAAGAUUGAUCCUAAGAGCUUUGGGGAUCGGGCGUUUAGGGGGAAACCUGCUGAGCUUGAGGAGAAGAUGAAGAAAGCUAAGAAGAAGAAAGAGAGGGAGCCGUUGGAUGCAGAGGCUGUGCCUAGGCAGAGUAAGAGGAGGAGGCUGCAGGAGGAGAGUGUUUUGACGACGACGGAUGAAGGGGUUUAUCAGCCAAAAACAAAGGAGACUAGGGCGGCUUAUGAGGCUAUGCUCAGUGUUAUUCAACAGCAGUUAGGUGGGCAGCCUUUGAAUAUUGUGAGUGGGGCGGCGGAUGAGAUUUUGGCUGUUUUGAAGAAUGACACGUUUAAGAAUGUGGAUAAAAAGAAGGAGAUUGAGAAGUUGUUGAAUGAGAUACCGAAUGCUAUGUUUGAUCAGCUGGUGUCAAUUGGGAGGCUUAUUACGGAUUAUCAAGAUGGGGGUGGUGAUGCUGCUGGGACUGGUGGUGCUGCAGACGGGGAUGAUGCUCUUGAUGAUGAUGUGGGUGUAGCGGUUGAGUUUGAGGAGAAUGAAGAGGAGGAGGAAGAGAGUGAUCUUGAUAUGGUACAGGAUGAUGAAGAUGAUGAGGAUGAUUUAGCAGAUGGGCAUGGAUCAGGAGCUAUGCAGAUGGGUGGUGGGAUUGAUGAUGAUGAAGGGAUGGAAGCAAAUGAGGGAAUGACGUUGAAUGUUCAGGACAUUGAUGCUUAUUGGCUUCAGAGGAAGAUUUCUCAGGCUUAUGAGCAGCAGAUUGAUCCACAGCAGAGCCAAAAGCUUGCAGAAGAGGUAUUGAAGAUCCUAGCUGAAGGUGAUGAUAGAGAAGUUGAAACCAAGUUAUUGGUGCAUCUUCAGUUUGAUAAGUUUAAUCUCAUCAAGUAUUUGUUGAAGAAUCGGAUGAAAAUAGUGUGGUGUACCCGUCUGGCGAGGGCAGAAGACCAAGAGGAAAGGAAAAAAAUUGAAGAGGAAAUGACGCAGUUGGGCCCAGACUUGGCUGCUAUUCUGGAGCAGCUGCAUGCUACCAGGGCAACUGCAAAAGAGAGACAAAAGAACUUGGAGAAAAGCAUCAGGGAAGAAGCUCGCAGGUUGAAGGAUGAGAGUGGAGGUGAUGUGGACCGGGGUCGAAGGGGUAUAUCAGAUAGAGAUGCAGAUGGUGGGUGGUUGAACGGUCAGCGUCAGUUACUUGAUCUGGAAAGCCUUGCAUUUAACCAAGGUGGUCUUCUGAUGGCCAAUAAAAAGUGCGAGCUUCCUCUGGGUUCUUAUAGGAACCACAAUAAGGGAUAUGAAGAGGUUCAUGUACCAGCUUUGAAACCAAAACCGCUUGCUGAGGGUGAAAAGCUGAUUAAGAUAUCUGAAAUGCCAGACUGGGCUCGACCAGCUUUUGAAGGAAUGUCCCAGUUGAAUAGGGUUCAGAGCAAAGUUUAUGACACAGCUCUGUUCUCUGCUGAAAAUCUUUUGCUCUGUGCUCCUACAGGAGCUGGUAAGACAAAUGUUGCAAUGCUUACAAUACUUCAGCAAAUUGCAUUGAAUAGGAAUGCAGAUGGUUCAUUCAAUCACAGCAACUACAAGAUUGUUUAUGUGGCUCCAAUGAAAGCACUGGUGGCAGAAGUUGUUGGGAAUCUGUCUAACCGUUUGAAGCAGUAUGAUGUUAAUGUGAAGGAGCUGAGUGGAGAUCAGACAUUGACUCGCCAGCAAAUUGAAGAAACUCAGAUAAUUGUCACGACGCCAGAAAAGUGGGAUAUCGUAACCAGAAAAUCAGGUGAUCGCACUUACACACAGCUUGUGAAACUUCUAAUAAUUGAUGAGAUCCAUCUUUUACAUGACAACAGAGGACCUGUAUUGGAGAGCAUAGUUGCAAGGACUGUUAGGCAGAUUGAGACAACAAAAGAGCAUAUUCGGCUUGUUGGGUUAUCUGCUACACUCCCCAAUUAUGAGGACGUGGCUCUGUUCCUUCGAGUUGAUUUAAAGAGAGGUCUCUUUCAUUUUGACAAUAGUUAUCGACCUUGCCCUUUAGCUCAACAGUAUAUUGGUAUCACAGUAAAGAAACCAUUGCAGAGGUUUCAGUUGAUGAAUGAUGUAUGUUAUGAGAAGGUAAUUGGUGUAGCUGGUAAGCAUCAGGUCCUCAUUUUUGUGCACUCGAGGAAAGAAACUGCAAAAACUGCUCGCGCCAUACGAGAUUCAGCACUAACCAAUGACACUGUUAGCAGAUUUUUGAAAGAGGAAAGUGCCACUCGUGAAAUUCUACGCGAGCAUACUGAGCUUGUUAAGAGCAGUGAUCUCAAGGAUCUUUUUCCAUAUGGAUUUGCUAUCCAUCAUGCAGGUAUGAACAGGGGUGACCGGCAGCUUGUUGAGGAGCUGUUCGCUGAUGGUCAUGUACAAGUACUGGUUUCUACAGCAACUCUUGCUUGGGGUGUUAAUUUACCUGCCCAUACUGUCAUCAUUAAAGGAACCCAGGUAUACAAUCCUGAAAAAGGAGCAUGGACUGAACUAAGUCCUCUGGAUGUCAUGCAGAUGCUUGGUCGAGCAGGUAGGCCUCAAUAUGAUACUUAUGGAGAGGGAAUAAUAAUAACUGGACAUAGUGAAUUGCAGUAUUAUCUUUCUUUAAUGAAUCAACAGCUUCCCAUUGAGAGCCAGUUUGUGUCCAAACUGGCUGAUCAACUUAAUGCAGAGAUUGUGCUCGGUACUGUGCAGAAUGCCAAAGAAGCCUGCAACUGGCUUAGUUAUACAUACCUGUAUGUUCGCAUGUUACGUAAUCCUACUUUGUAUGGUUUGGCUCCUGAUGCUUUGAGUAAAGACUUGUUACUAGAAGAGAGAAGAGCUGAUCUGGUAAGCAUAACAACUUUUGGCUCCAUCUUUUAUCUUCUUUGUUUUAUUUUUUGAAUUAUUCUCUUGGUUUUCUUAUAGAUGCACUGUUUCGUAAAUACAUGCCAUGCCAGUUGAUACUAUGUGCUUGUAUAAGAUAGAUCUUGUGGCCUUCACUUUUAAAACUAAGGGACAAAAUUCUGCAGCGAAUGUAUUUUCACGAAGUGACGUUGCAUUUAGCUUAUGCCAGGGGCCUUUUUUGCUAGCAGAUUGUUAUACUUCACCUAAUAGAUAUAUUUGUAUGUAUGUGUAUAUUUAGCUUAUGCCAGGGGCCUUUUUUGCUAGCAGAUUGUUAUACUUCACCUAAUAGAUAUAUUUGUAUGUAUGUGUAUAUUUAGCUUAUGCCAGGGGCCUUUUUUGCUAGCAGAUUGUUAUACUUCACCUAAUAGAUAUAUUUGUAUGUAUGUGUAUCUCUGACUUUUAUCUUACUACAUGUGUUCAGUUAUGUUCUCAUAUGGUAGGAUGCUCUAUAACUAAUAGUUAUACAUUGAAGUAUAUGCCACCUGCUUUGACUAUCUAUUGUAAUUAGUAUGAAAAAGGCAAACAUAUACCUAUUAGGGGAUUUAUGAGUGACUAAAAAGGGCCUCCUGAUUUGAAUACAUUGAAGUUUAUGAGUGACUAAAAAGGGCCUCCUGAUUUGAAUAUAUGUUUGGUAAUUAUUUUGACAUCACAUCCAUCAGAUAGGGGAUUUGCAUUAUAUGCUAGAUUAGCCAACAUAGAGUUGGAAUGCAGGGAGAAGAACUUGUGACUGCAACUUUAUGUUGGUUGAGGUGGUUAGAAUAUUUAAUGCGAGCAGUGGGUGUGUUUUUUAUAAUGAAUCAAAUUUUGGCUUAAACCGUACAUGCCUUAAGGCAAGUUCAAUUGUGUGCUAUCUUUUGUUUUAUAUAUAUAUAUAUAUAUAUAUAUAUAUAUAUAUAUAUNNNNNNNNNNNNNNNNNNNNNNNNNNNNNNNNNNNNNNNNNNNNNNNNNNNNNNNNNNNNNNNNNNNNNNNNNNNNNNNNNNNNNNNNNNNNNNNNNNNNNNNNNNNNNNNNNNNNNNNNNNNNNNNNNNNNNNNNNNNNNNNNNNNNNNNNNNNNNNNNNNNNNNNNNNNNNNNNNNNNNNNNNNNNNNNNNNNNNNNNNNNNNNNNNNNNNNNNNNNNNNNNNNNNNNNNNNNNNNNNNNNNNNNNNNNNNNNNNNNNNNNNNNNNNNNNNNNNNNNNNNNNNNNNNNNNNNNNNNNNNNNNNNNNNNNNNNNNNNNNNNNNNNNNNNNNNNNNNNNNNNNNNNNNNNNNNNNNNNNNNNNNNNNNNNNNNNNNNNNNNNNNNNNNNNNNNNNNNNNNNNNNNNNNNNNNNNNNNNNNNNNNNNNNNNNNNNNNNNNNNNNNNNNNNNNNNNNNNNNNNNNNNNNNNNNNNNNNNNNNNNNNNNNNNNNNNNNNNNNNNNNNNNNNNNNNNNNNNNNNNNNNNNNNNNNNNNNNNNNNNNNNNNNNNNNNNNNNNNNNNNNNNNNNNNNNNNNNNNNNNNNNNNNNNNNNNNNNNNNNNNNNNNNNNNNNNNNNNNNNNNNNNNNNNNNNNNNNNNNNNNNNNNNNNNNNNNNNNNNNNNNNNNNNNNNNNNNNNNNNNNNNNNNNNNNNNNNNNNNNNNNNNNNNNNNNNNNNNNNNNNNNNNNNNNNNNNNNNNNNNNNNNNNNNNNNNNNNNNNNNNNNNNNNNNNNNNNNNNNNNNNNNNNNNNNNNNNNNNNNNNNNNNNNNNNNNNNNNNNNNNNNNNNNNNNNNNNNNNNNNNNNNNNNNNNNNNNNNNNNNNNNNNNNNNNUAUAUAUAUAUAUAUAUAUAUAUAUAUAUAUAUAUAUAUUACAGAACAAAAACCAAAUUUCAACGCUCCAGUGGUGCUAUCAUCACUUUAUGGUGCUAAAUUUUAGCACUAGCUCCAUCUAUUUUAGCACAACUAUUGGACAUGCUCUUGUGUGUUGGGAUCUUGAUUAUACUGAUGCAUCGACACAUUUAAUUUUCUAUGCAUAAUCUAUCUUGUCGGCUUAAAUUGGAGUUAUAUUUGGAUUUUUAUUGUUUUAGUGUAUUGACUUGUUAAUUUGUUUUCGAUCUCUAACGGAAGUUAAUAACUUGUUAUACAAUAAUAUCAAGUCAUAUGCAUGGGAGCUAACCUUUCAGUUUCAGGUCAAUACUGUUUGUUGUAUAAAUAUAAUGAGAAUACUAUAAUCCUAAGUUGUAUGCAUGGAGGCUAAUCUUUCAGGUGCAAUAUUCUUUGUUGUAUAAAUAUCUGAUGCAAGUUUCAUGGUUUGUAGGUUCAUACUGCGGCGACAACAUUAGACAAAAACAAUCUGAUCAAGUAUGACCGGAAAAGUGGAUACUUUCAGGUCACUGACUUGGGCCGCAUUGCUAGUUACUAUUACAUAACUCAUGGGACGAUCACUACCUACAAUGAGCAUUUGAAACCGACAAUGGGAGAUAUUGAGCUUUGUCGGUUGUUCUCUCUCAGUGAAGAAUUUAAAUACGUAACUGUGAGACAAGAUGAGAAGAUGGAGUUGGCAAAACUUUUAGACCGCGUUCCCAUUCCCAUAAAGGAAAGCCUUGAAGAACCUAGUGCCAAGAUUAAUGUUUUGUUGCAAGCUUAUAUUUCACAGCUUAAGCUUGAAGGAUUAUCUUUAACGUCUGACAUGGUUUAUAUCACUCAGGUUUACCCUUGUGACUAACCUAUUUGUUAAGCACUUUUUCUAACGAGUUUUUGUCAUGAUGUAAUUAAUCUUUUGUUUUCAUAUUGCAGAGUGCUGGACGUCUAAUGCGAGCUCUUUUUGAGAUCGUUUUGAAACGUGGAUGGGCUCAGUUGACUGAGAAGGCCUUAAACUUGUGCAAAACAGUGAACAAGAGAAUGUGGAGUGUACAAACACCUCUUCGUCAAUUUCAUGGAUUUCCAAAUGAGAUUUUGAUGAAAAUGGAGAAAAAAGAUCUGGCUUGGGAAAGAUAUUAUGAUCUCUCCUCACAUGAGCUAGGAGAGCUCAUUCGACAAAGAAAUAUGGGAAAAAUGCUGCACAGGUGUAUUCAUCAGUUUCCAAAACUUGUUCUGGCUGCUCAUGUUCAGCCCAUUACUCGCACUAUAUUGAAGGUUGAACUCACAAUCACCCCCGACUUCCUGUGGGAAGAUAAGUUCCAUGGAUAUGUAGAGCCAUUUUGGGUUUUUGUGGAAGAUAAUGAUGGGGAACACAUUCUUCAUCAUGAGUAUUUCUUGUUGAAAAAGCAAUACGUUGAUGAGGACCAUACUUUAAGUUUUACCGUUCCAAUCUAUGAACCAUUGCCUCCUCAGUACUUCAUCCGUGUGGUGUCAGAUAAAUGGAUUGGGUCGCAGACUGUCUUGCCUGUUUCAUUUAGGCACCUUAUUUUACCAGAGAAAUACCCUCCGCCCACUGAGUUACUUGAUUUGCAGCCAUUACCAGUAACUGCAUUGAGGAAUCCGUCUUAUGAAUCACUAUACCAAGAAUUUAAGCACUUUAAUCCUGUCCAGACUCAAGUGUUCACAGUCUUGUACAACACAGAUGAUAAUGUAUUGGUUGCUGCACCAACUGGGAGUGGGAAGACUAUAUGUGCGGAAUUUGCAAUCAUGAGGAAUCAUCAAAAAGGUCCUGAUAAUGUUAUGAGGGCUGUCUACAUUGCUCCUGUAGAAGCUCUUGCAAAGGAACGCUAUAAUGACUGGAAGAAAAAAUUUGGGGAAGGUCUUGGUAUGAGAGUGGUUGAAUUAACUGGGGAAACUGCUGUGGAUCUUAAACUGUUGGAGAAAGGUCAGGUGAUAGUCAGCACCCCUGAUAAGUGGGAUGCUCUAUCACGCCGCUGGAAGCAGCGCAAACAAAUUCAACAAGUCAGUCUUUUCGUUGUUGACGAACUUCAUUUGAUUGGGGGUCAAGGUGGACCUAUCUUGGAAGUGAUAGUCUCUAGGAUGAGAUAUAUAGCAAGUCAAGUUGAAAAUAAGAUCAGAAUUGUUGCUCUAUCUACAUCUCUAGCAAAUGCCAAGGAUCUGGGUGAAUGGAUUGGUGCGACCUCUCAUGGUCUUUUCAAUUUCCCGCCUGGUGUCAGGCCAGUGCCCUUGGAAAUACACAUUCAGGGUGUCGACAUUGCUAAUUUUGAAGCCAGAAUGCAAGCAAUGACCAAGCCAACAUAUACAGCAAUCGUCCAACAUGCUAAAAAUGGGAAACCAGCCAUCGUGUAUGUUCCUACGAGGAAGCAUGCUCGUCUCACUGCUGUGGAUUUAAUGACAUACUCUAGUAUAGAGGGUGGAGAAAACCCCAUGUUUAUAUUACAGUCUGUAACAGAACUUGAGCCUUUUGUUGACAGAAUCAAAGAACCAAUGUUGCGUGAGACACUGCAGUAUGGUGUGGGAUAUUUACAUGAGGGAUUGAGUCCCACUGAUCAAGAUAUAGUAAGAACCCUAUUUGAAACUGGUUGGAUCCAAGUUUGUGUAAUGACUAGUUCAAUGUGCUGGGGAGUGCCAUUGCGUGCCCAUCUGGUAAUCAUUAUGGGAACUCAGUAUUAUGAUGGGAGGGAAAAUGCUCACAGUGACUAUCAAGUAACUGAUAUUCUCCAGAUGAUGGGUCAGGCUAGUCGUCCUCUUGUUGAUAACGCUGGGAAGUGUGUUAUUUUCUGCCAUGCACCACGAAAGGAAUACUACAAGAAGUUUUUGUAUGAAGCAUUCCCGGUGGAAAGCCACCUUCACCAUUUUCUGCACGAUAAUCUAAAUGCAGAGGUGGUGGUUCAAGUCAUUACAAGCAAGCAAGAUGCUGUGGAUUACCUCACGUGGACAUUCAUGUACAGGAGGCUUACCCAGAAUCCAAACUACUAUAAUCUUCAGGGUGUUAGUCAAAGGCAUCUCUCUGAUCACCUUUCGGAGCUUGUAGAGAACACACUCAGCGAUCUGGAAACAAGCAAGUGUGUUGCUAUAGAGGAUGAUUUGUAUCUUUCUCCUCUAAAUCUUGGGAUGAUAGCAUCAUAUUAUUAUAUUAGUUACACGACAAUUGAACGUUUCAGCUCUUCUUUGACUGUUAAAACAAAGUUGAAAGGUCUUUUGGAGAUUUUGGCAUCAGCUUCUGAAUAUGAAGAACUUCCGAUAAGGCCAGGAGAGGAAGAGCUGAUACGGAGGUUGAUAAACCAUCAGAGGUUCUCCUUUGAUAAUCCUAAAUGCACAGAUCCACAUGUAAAGGCAAAUGCUUUGCUACAAGCCCACUUUUCUAGGCAACAUGUUGGUGGGAACUUGGCUGCCGAUCAGAAAGAGGUUCUUCUUUCUGCCAGUAGGCUUCUUCAAGCGAUGGUUGACGUCAUCUCCAGCAACGGAUGGCUUAGCCUGGCUCUUCUUGCCAUGGAAGUGAGUCAGAUGGUGACACAAGGCAUGUGGGAGCGUGACUCGAUGCUACUACAGAUUCCAUACUUCACUAAGGAAUUGGCUAAAAGAUGUCAAGAGAAUCCUGGAGGAAGCAUAGAAACAGUGUUUGAUUUGGUGGAGAUGGACGAUGACCAGAGGCAGAAGCUGUUGGACAUGAGUGAUGCUCAGUUAAUUGAAAUUGCAAAGUUUUGCAAUCGGUUCCCAAACAUUGAUUUGACAUAUGAUAUACUCGACAAGGAAGACAUCAGGGCUGGGGAAGAGAUCAGUUUGCAGGUAACUCUAGAACGGGAUCUUGAGGGUAGGUCUGAAGUGGGACAUGUUGAUGCUCCUAGAUAUCCCAAAGCCAAGGAGGAAGGAUGGUGGCUGGUGGUUGGUGAUACAAAAAGUAAUCAGUUGCUUGCCAUCAAAAGGGUGCCCCUGCAGAGGAAGUCAAAGGUGAAGCUAGAUUUUGUUGCUCCCGCAGAAACAGGUAGCAAGAGCUACACCCUUUAUUUUAUGUGCGACUCUUACAUGGGCUGUGACCAGGAGUAUAUUUUCAGCAUUGAUGUAAAGGAUGCAGGUGAUCCAGAGGAUAACAUGAGAGAAUGAUUUGUUUUAGCCACUGAUACUUAUUACUCUGAGUAUUAAGGAUGCCAUUUGUUAUAAUGUUGCACUUUUUAUGUAGUUCUGCUGCUCUUAGACUUCUGUGUGCCUAGCUUAUGUUAAUUGGAUCACUGUCUUUCUCUAAAUAAAACAGUCUAUGCAUCACUUGUUUGUGUUACUAAUGGCCAAUGGGUGUUGCAGAGUAACCUGAGUUAUUGAGUAUCCUGAAAUUGGACUGCAUAUGCUUUUUAGUCUAUUUUAUCGAUUGCAUGCUAAUGUGGCAAUCUUAAAUACAUCAUACUAUAGGCACUUGCAUAUUCUGUCACAUACUUGGAAGUUGGAACUGCUCAUGUAUACAGUUUUGCUUAUAAUCUACUCCUGUUCCGUGCAUUUCUUUCCAUUUUCUAUUCCCUCUUAGUAUGCUAAUUACAUAUCAACACUUAGUAAAAGUAGUUUAUUUGUAUAAUAUAUAUAAAUUAGAGUUAAGUUCUAUUGAGUACAAAAAAAAUCGGAGUAUUGGAGUACAAAGUUUGAUAAAAUGUAAUCUAGUCAUCUAAAUUUCAAUUUUUUUGUCCAAUAAUAUUUGUAAAUAUUUGACAACCUGCACAUUAUGUUCUGCAACAUAAACAUCGUGAUCAAAUGGUAGAAUAAUUACUUUUAUAAAUCAUAGGACUCUAUGUUCUGCAAUAUAACUAAUAAGCAGAACAAUAAUCUUAAUACUUGUUAAAGUUGAAAGAUAUUAAUGAUUAAUUGACAAUUAUGUGCAAGACAACUUAUAAAUGAUAGAUUAUAUCAAAAUUUGGAUAAUCAAAGAUAUUAUAUAGGAUCAAACUAAAAAAUUAUGAUUUGUACUCCAAUACUCCAAUGUUUUUAUGUACUCCAUAGAACUUAACACAUAUAAAUUAAUCUUACAUGCUAUCUUUCCUAAUCUGUUAAUUAUUAUUGGAUUUCAUCACUAUAUCAAAUUUUCUUACUUUUUUUCAUACUAAUUUAUUUAUUUUAUCUGUCUAAUCUCAAUGUUAAAAAUUAAGUGAGACAUAUUUUUGUUAUUAGAGCGGGUAGCUUAAUUUACUGUAAACAUCAAGGGCAGAGAGCUUAAGUUUUUACCAUUUACUUGUCGACAGCCUCCACUACUGGUGCCUUGUCCGAUAUUAAGCCCUUGAAGUGUGCUGGCUUAUGGCUGUAAUUCGAGCCGAGCCUAAUUCGAGCCAAGUUUAAUCGAGUCGGUUCGGCUCGGUUAACUAAUCGAGCCUAAAUCUUUGCCCGAACUCGACUCGGUUAAUUUUACGAGUCGAGUCGAGCCGGCUCAUUUAGCUAAACGAGCCGGUUUUCACUAGUCGAGUGAGCCGCCUCGUAUAAUUUUACACUUAAUCGAGCUCAAACCUCUACCCGAACUCGGCUUAUUUAAUUUCACGAGUCGAGUCGAGCCAGCUCGUUUCAUUAAACGAGCCGAAACUUUUGCCUGAACCCGACUCGUUUAACGAGUCGAGCCGAGCCAAACACACUUAAACGAGUUCGAGCCGAGCGAGCUCGCGAGCCGCCCGACUCGAAUUACAGCUCUAUGGCUAACUACUCAUACAGCCAUACCAAUCAAGACUGUUCACUCACUAAGGGGUCGUUUGGAUUGAGGUUGGGAAUGAGAAUCGAGAAUGGGAAUGAAGGGUAUGGGAAUGGGGGUUAACGGGAAUGAGAAUGGUAUGGUAACUCAAAGGGUGAGAAGGGUAUGAUUUAACUACCUAAAAGGAUUGGGGUUGUCAUUCCAUAGCACCAAAUAACUAAUCCAAACACUUGUUAUGAGAUUAAGGUUCUGAUUGCCGUUAACUGGCCUCAUAAACCAUGAACCAAACACCCCCUAGAUACUUCACGUCAAAUUUGCUGAAUGGAAUAUCUUCGACGCCAACUUCAUAUUUCAUAAGGAUUUAUAUGGCAAUAAAGGAAAAACAGAUCAUUUUUACCUGGACUUUGGAGUCAUUUUCGGUUAUGAGUUGAUUCUUUUUUUGUUCAUAUAAUAAGUCCCGAGUUGGCUUAAAAUCAAAAAUAAAUCAAAAAAUGGUAUAAAAGGAUAAGUUAGUUUGAUAUAUUUUUUCUGAUCACUUAAUUUUUUUAAUAUUUUUUAUAUAAAAAUUAUCCAGAUGUCAACCCCGAAGGAGAACAAUUGGUCUGUAAUCUGUAUAUAUAUUAUACUUAUAUUAUACUUUGCAUGUGUAUAUUGGUACCGCCGUGUCUAAUUUUUUGUAUGUCAUAUAAGAGCAUCUCCAAUGUAAUUAACUACAAUCGUUGGCAAAAUUGGACUAGUAUGACAUUAUUUAAAAUUUGCUGAACUUAUAAGAGCAUCUCCAACGGUGUUGGCUAUAAUGGUUGGCUAAAUUGGACUUGUAAGACAUUAUGUAAAUUUUGCUGAAACUGUAAGACAUUUUGUUUCGAUGGUAUUGGCUAUAUUGGUUGGUUAUAAUUUAAAAAUAGUAUGUUAUUAAUAUUUUAGAUUUUAAAAUAUAAUAUAUCAGUUUAAUAUGAUAAUAAAUGAUAUGUAAUAUUUCUACAGAUUUCUUAGAGCAUCUCCAACGGUGUUGGCUAUAAUCGUUGGCUAAAUUGAACCUGUAGGACAUUAUGUAAAAUUUGCUGAACAUGUAAGACAUUGUACUUCAAUGGUAUUGACUAUAUUGGUUGGUUAUAAUGUAAAAAUAGAAUGUUAUUAAUAUUUUUUUUUGAUAAUUCGAUAUUUCAUUCAUAUAAGGGGACAGUACCUCACUUUGAAAAUGAGGACACUGAGAAUACAACGGAACGUCAACAACACGCCUAAACAGCCAAACUAAACAUACGACUUAAGCUAGCUAGAGCAUACCAUUUAAACUAGAACAUGCUUCUAAGAGGAACCAUAGAUAGGGAAGGGACUAUACUAGGAAUAGAGUUCUACUGUAGCCUCUAUUCCAUACAACCAAGCUACUGACUUAAUCUAUGUCACCUAAUGGAGGCUCAUAAGCCCAGAGAGGAUCCUUGAGAUCGUUGGGGCCGAAACUUGCCACAAACGAGUCUUCCACCGCGCCUUCAAUCAUUUCCUCCAUCUCAUCUAUAUCCAUCUCAGAGCGAGCGAACCUUGGAGCAUUCAACUGACCCAGACCCAGGUCAUCAACUUGGUCUGCAAGAGAGACUGACAUCAAAAUUCACAGGGUCUAGGGCGUCAUAAGGGACCAUGAUGUCCAUGUAGUCUGCAUGCGGCACACCCAUGCCCUGGUCCCAAUCAAGAAGUUCUUCCACGCCCCCAACUGGCCUAUCGAAGGUAUACAGCCUUUGAUAGGUUUCCAUACCGAGUUUGACGAGGAAGCGAGGGACUCUGUUACGAGAUGGGUGAACGUAAGCCACCGUGCACUUGCGACUCUUGUCCUUUAUGAGAGUAUCCAGUUGGUCAGUAAUAUCAAAAACAGAAGCAACAACCCUCCCUGAAGUGCUUGAUUGUCAUGUAAGCCUGAAAGUUGUCUGUCUCGAGAAUGAUAUCCUUGAAGUCAUGCACGAUGGCCCUGCGGAGAGGAGCGUACAUCGCCCACAGUUGAUUUCCUAUAAGAGUCAGCCCUGGAAUGACACCCGUAGUGACGAGCCUCAUAUCUGUUUCAGAAUCACGGUAAACAGCUCCGAUUCCCAUUGAGUUUCCAGUGCUGAGAGGGGUUUUGAUAGCUGUUAGUAAUAUAUUUUAGUUUGUUAAAAUAAAAUAUAUCAGUUUAAUAUGGUAAUGGAUGAUGUGCAAUCAUCCUACAGAUUUCUUACAGACUGGUUCGAAAAUAUAGUCAUCCAUUAAAUAUAGUCAUCCAUAGGAGGUUGAUAUAGUCAUCCAUUAAAUAUAGUCAUCCAUAGGAGGUUGGCUAAAAUUAUAGACAAUAGGUUCAUGUGGUGGAGUAUGAUUUUUUCAACAGGUUGGCUAAUUUUUUUAUAUUUAGAAUGCCAACUCAUUUUUUAACCAAUGGGUUUGUAUGGUUGAAGAUGCUCUCAGAACAUGUAGUGAUUCAAUAAAUAUAGUCAUCCACAAGAGGUUCACUAUAAUUUUUUAAUUUAAUGUUAGAUAAUUAUUGACUCCAAUUGACUCUGCAUACACAAAAAAUUAUACUUACUAAAAUUCCGUAUCUAAAUAAAAAAUUGUUAGGCACAUCCUAAAAUAUCCAUGAAAAAUUACCUAAAUUAAAAUAUAAAUUUUCAUAAUAAUUAAAAUAUGAUUUUAUCAUGGUUGCUAAAUGCAAAUCAGUUUUGCUUGAUGCAAUUCAGAGAAAUUACUUUACUAUCCCUUCUAAUUUUACGUGCAACAUUAAAUGUGUACGGCGGUACAGCAUCAACACUAAUGAGAAUUUACAGUUUUAUCUUUCCUGUUUACGGUUUAUCUUUCCUGCCAUAUAUGUAGCGUUUCCUUAUUUUUGUAAGUAAACCAAAAUAAUGUUUAAAUAACAUCGAUAUAUAUAUUAUUUCGUUUCAAAAAAAAAGAUCAAUAUAUUAUUGUAAGAUUAAUUUUUUUAACAUUUUCUAAAUACUGUAAAUGAGUUCUUUAAUAUUAGUUGAUGUUUAGAUUUUUACCACACAUUUUUAAAUAUUUCGACAGGAUAGUUAAAAUUAUAAUUGUUUUAUUAAAAAACAUAUAAUCAAAAUUUUCAUUAAAAAUAUAAUACAAAUUAAUUAAAUUUGUCUUGCAUUCAAAAUAUCUAAAAUUAAAUGUUGAAACUUAAAAUGACAAAUAAAAAAUCUUAUUUAUAUCUUUUUUUUGAAAAAAAUCUUAUUUAUAUCUUAUUUAUACUUGAGUACAUAUUGUGAUUAUAUUUACUUGCUAUGCUCAAAUUAGUAUAUACAACUUUUGAUUAGAAUAUAUAGUGGUAAAAGACAUUAGCACGGUGUAAUAUUUAUUUAUAUAAAAUAAUAAUUAUUCAAUAUCAAAAUUAUAACACGUGAAAAGUGAAAAUUACAAGUAACUUAGAUAUCAAAGCAUGAUUUAUAUAUAAUAUUUACUAUUUUUUUUAUUUACCUCAUGUGUCCAAAGUUAUCAUUUUUUUUAAACAUGUAUUUUAAAAUAUAGACCAAUUGCUCCACUAACUUUUACUUAAAAUUAUUGUUUUUAAUAAAAUUAGAUUUUAAAAUUUUAUUUGAGAGAAAAAAAAUUGGAAAAAUAUAUGAAGCUGUCUUUUUUAUUUUUAAAAUACAUAUAAACAAUCAAUACGAGAGACAAAUAAAAUAUUAUUUUUUAUAAAAUAAAAACAAUAUAUAUACUGUGAUAAAAAGAGUUCAAGAUAAAUUGAUUAUACUCAUUUUCAGAAUAACAUAAUUUUACUAAACACGAUGAUAUAUUAAUUAUACUGAAAAUAUGAAAUAAGUAUUGACAAAAGUAAAAUAUCUUUCUAAUAAUUUCUAAUUUAAAGAUUUGAAUUUAAAAUUUUAACCAAAGACCAUUUAAAGAAUAUUUAAAAUAAGUAAAAUAUGAUAAAAUCUUAAAAUUUUAUAAAAUAUCUUUAUGAUAAUUAUUAAUUAUGUGAUGUCAAUUUAAAAUUUGAUAUAUAUUAAAGAAUUGAAUUUAAAAAUUAUCAAAGACAAUUUUAAUUAUUAAAAUCUUUCUUCUAAAUAAUAACACAGGAAAACACUAAAAUGCAAAUGCUCCUCUUAGAGCAUCUCCAAUAAGCUCUUUAAACAAGCUCUUAAAUGAAAAAAUAGAGAGCAUUAACAAAAUGGAAGCUCCAAUAGACUCUUAAAGGCUCUUCAAAACCUUAAGAGUCUAUUCUCUCUCCUCUCUUUUAAGAGUCUCUCACUCACUCUUAAGUUAUAUUUUAUUAUAAAGUAAUACAAGCAUCCACUUUCUCUUUCCACUCUAGUAUUGUAGUCCUAUUCAUUUAAUAAUAAAAUAUUGUUUAAGAGUGGAUGUAAAGAGUGUUGUUGGAGAUGAAUAUACAUUAAAUUGUUAAGAGUGAAUAUUUUAUAUUAUAUUUGAGGAAUGACUUAAGAGACUAUUGGAGAUGCUCUAAGCGCUUCUAAUAUACCCCCACUCACAUUCAGCAUUUAAUACGUAUUGACUGUACUAAAAGGCUAAGAAAGUACUUUAUAAAAGAAAAAAAAAAAAGGCUAGGAAAUUAAUUUGUGCGAAUUGCAUUAAGCAAAACUGAUUUGCAUUUAGCAACACCCGAUUUUAUCUGUUGACAAUUGCCUCGCACCAUUUUUAUGGUAGUUUAAAACUGCACGAAUACGGAGGCUAAAUUUUCUGUAUAUACAAAAAAUCUCCGAGCUUUCGUAUUUUUGUGGCGGCGUAUAAAAAUCUCAGCGUGCUUCUCUCUAAACUCCGGCGCACACACCCCUCCUAUGGCGGCGCGUAUACUCCCACGCGUCCUACCUAUCUCAUCUCUCUCCACUAUCCGAUCAACCACGCACUUAAAAUCUCUCUCUCCGCUCUCAUUCAACCGAUUCUCGGUGUCAUUUUCGUCCUCGAUAUCUUCGCUGUUCGGCAUUCGCCGCCGGCGGAGAUUUUUAAGCGACGCUUCGAGGAGCGGCGAGGAGUGGAGUGUAAGGAGAGGAGUAUUCGCGGAGCAGCGAGGGUAUCGGAAGCUGAGAAGGCGUGCGGCGAAGAGUAAGGAGAAGGAGUUAGAGCUUUGUGUUAAGAUUUGCGUUGAAGAACAGUUGCCUGAUGAUCCUGAAACUCUGGUACGUGUGUUUAAUUUUGAAAAUGUGCGUCUUUGUUGUUGUCAAUGAUUGUUUUGUCAAUUGGACUCAAGUGUGAUGAGAUAAGUGGUUGGAAUUCAAAAUUUGAGAUAAUAUUGGUGGAUUUCACGUUUAAAAUUUGUCGAGAGAGCUCUCGUUUUGAAUUAUGUUUCUGUUUAAAUUGUGCAGUAGUAGUGUGUGUGUGUGUGAGAGAGAGAGAGAGAGAGAGGGAGUACUGAAUCUACAAGAGCAUGGGUUAUGACAAUUUGAAAAAUGUGUUGUCAUUGGAUGUAUAAAAUUCUUUGUGAAAAUGUGAGUGAUUUUAUGUAUAGCAAACUGACUACAAUACGUACCUAAAGAUAUGUGACAAGCUUUUACUACUAGAUGAUGCGUUUUAAGUGACUGAUAUACAGAUAUAGCUACCAGUUACUAAAUUUUAAAAAGAGAACUGAUUAAUUAUAACCUAUGUUAGUCCAACUCUUUGGUUCCCGUCGUACUUAAGUCGAACACUUGGGCAUGAUAUUUAUGGCUGAAAUGUGGACACUUAGUCCAGCUGAAAUACCCACAUAUGAGUUGAAAACAGGAUGCUAAAAGGAAAUCGAUGACAAGAAACAAGUAGAAUUGAGAAAAAUGAACGAGAGAUGAAGAUACCUAAAAUCUAUAGUCCUUUUAUUAAAAUAAUGCUUAGUUUGAUCUUCAUUGUAACUUUUGGGUACUAAAUUUUUCCUAAUAUACUUACUUUUAAUAAUUUUGCUGGGUCCCCGUGCCUUUGUCUAUAUAUUACAAGUCAAACACUCAGAUAUAUGUCGUUUCCUCAAAGUGUGAUGGAUGGCCUGUACAGCAAACUAUGUCAUGGAAAAUGUAUCUUGUAAUUUGAUGCUAUCUAUGAUUUGGGUUCCACCGAAACAUACUUCAGACAUCUGAAACCACAAUGAUGUUGAUUUCCUGCUCUAUAUUUAGGCUUAUGGGAAUGCGCUCAAGUUUUUAUGAUAAGAUGGAUAUAAGUACAGUGUAUCCAUUAGCAACAAAUGAAGUACUAUAUGGUUUGGUUCUUAUUCCCUGAUUAUUAUUUUUCUUCCUACCUCCGUGGUAUUUAGAAUUUUAAAUACCUACCUUAAGAAAAAACAUUUUUUUUGUUAGUGAUUGUUUUUUGUCUAAAAGUAUAAAUCAAUUUUUGGAAUAAAUAACUAGUUAUUGGAUGGAAAGAUACUGCUAAAAUGUGUUUGUAAUCUCUUCUUGCAUAUCUCUAUUAGGAGGUGUAGGUCGGGCUGUGCUGAAUUGGCACAAUUAAGUGUGAACCGUCACUGAAAUUUUUUGGAUGCUGGGUAGCCACUAGCCAUGUGACAGCAGUAGAAUAUGUCUAGGCAUUUUGUUUUCUGAAUUAUUGGAGCUCCUGUCUAGUCCAUUAAGGUCACAUUGAGAUAUCCUUAAAUUAAAGUUUAUGUUCAUAGACACAAAUGCUUUUCUGAGCAUUGGCUCGAUGGAGUUUUGUGGUAGUUAAAAAAAAUGUUACUCGUAAAGAAUUGUAUGCUAAACAGUGGCCUAGCCACCCUAGGGAGGUACCCACUCCUGGAAUUUUUUACAAGUUCUGCUUGGAUGAUUCUUAUUCGUUUUAGUUAGUUAGAACUUAGAAAUAGGAUAAAUCUAAAUAACACUUAUAUUCUUGUGUUUCUUUUAUCAUUCUAUUCUUUUAAUUCACAUGUAAAUGUAAAACUACACAACGAUGUAAUUAGUGAAUAUAAUGCUCCAAUUUAUCCAAUAAUUUAUUAGCUAUUUAAGCAUAUCGAUUUUGAUAUUUUCUUUUUUUUAUACACAGUAUUUGUAUUGGGUUUAUAUAAAACUUUAUUACCGGGUAAUGGAUAAUAACAAAGAACAAUAUGACAGCUUGAUUUUUUUUUUUUUUUAUCAUUGUUAAAUUCCAGUAACUUCUAUAGUUAUUCAACCAUAUAUCUUAAAAGUAACUUUUAAAUUUACCAAAAAAAAGGGGCAAGUCAUAAGUGUAUAUUUGCCCCCUUGAGUUUAUAACCUGGCUACUGCACUGUGUGAAAGUAUUUGAUCUAUAAUAUAAAUGCUAUUAAGCUUUCAGAAACAUCCACAUGUUGCCAUAGGACCCAGUGAAAAAUAUAAAAAUUUAUAUCCUUGAUCCCACUUAUAUAUUUGCUACAAAUAUUGCUAAUAAAAUGCUUCCAAAACUAUAUAAAAAGGCAGUAGUUGUCUUUAACACAAACAAGACAAUUUCUCUUUGUUCUUGUAGUUUUAAGUUUCUAUUAUAAUUGCCAAUUUAAUUUAUCAUUUGAUGUCUUUACUAAACUGUUUUACGAUUGAAAACAUUGAUUUCAAGUUAUCUUAAAUAAAUAGUUCACCCAAGACGCCCUUACAUAAUUGAUUCACUCAAAAUGCCUUCACUUGUCAGCUAGUCUUGUUGAAGUUACGCAAGCUCCGAGCCUCAACUUGACACCGUAGUAACCAUGGUUGUUACAGUUUAGACAUUACCCAGAUAGCUGAAUGUUUUUACUUUCCACAUUCGGCGCAGGAUAUUGCAGAAGUUCUGAGAUUAAAUGUCCCAAUGGCCAUGAAAGUAGCAUUUGAUGGUCUGAAAGAUUCACAGUAUAAAACAAGGGAUCCUGCAAUUGAUGAUGUUGGUUGUUUUGAGAAUGUUGAACUGUCCGUACUUCUUUGCAAUGACGAGUUUAUUCGCAAACUUAACAAGGACUGGCGGGGUGAGGACCAUGCAACUGAUGUUCUCUCCAUGUCCCAACAUAUUCCCGAACUAAAGCUUCCGAUUGUAAGAAUUUUAGACAUUUAUCUCGCAUCAUCACUGCACAAGUUUUUGUUUACACAUUUUAUUCUUUUGCAGCUUAUGUUGGGUGACAUUGUAAUUUCGGCUGAGACAGCAGCACGCCAAGCAGCGGAAAGAGGGCACACUCUUCUUGAUGAGAUACGCAUACUCGUGGUUGGUUUUAUUUCCUUGCUGACAUGAUUUUUUUUUGGUUUUUGAUUGUUAAACACACUCACACGUCCAUCUUGUCUUUAACAAGAUAUGAACCCUCGUCAUACCGUAAAGGGAGUGAGGGACCAUUAAACCAAGAGGUCGUUGAUCUUUGUUUAAUGUCUGUCAUAUAGUAUUAUGAAAUAUAUAUCCACUCUCUUGAGAAUUGUCUGGGCUGUUGACUUUGAAAGCAGUGCUUCUCUUCCCUUUACAUUCAGUAAAUAUCUGUUCAUUUUAAUUCGUUUUAUAUAUGCAAAAGGUGGGAAGAGGAUAAGUCAUCUUUUAUAUUAGAUAUGAUAUAAUAUGCAAUAGCAGGGGGGAAGUUCUACUAUCAAGUCUUACCAUAUUGUCUUGACUUUUGUGAUAAUAAAAGUUGUGAUUCUUAAUAAUUACUCAAUAUUCAUGCAAAAUGACUUUUAAAAGAUCAGAACAUUAUGUGGAAAGUUUGGAAAUAUUGGUUUGUCUUAAUAUAUUUUUUUUUACUAUAUUCUGGUAAAUAUUUGGCUCAAGGAAAGAAUUGAUACUGUCUAAAGCAUCGGCUGGCAUUGAGCUGGAAUCUUAAGUUUUUUUUUUAUAUAGUAGUAGAUACUACUUAAAUGCUUUAUGCCCUUUAGGUUCAUGGGUUGCUACAUCUUUUGGGGUUCGAUCAUGAGCUCAGCGAUGAGGCUGAAGCAGAAAUGGAGAAAGAAGAGGAACUUCUGUUAAAGAGUCUAGGAUGGAAAGGAAAAGGAUUAAUUCAGAGCACCCAUGAUGCUGUUGAAGAUAAUGUUGCCUCUCAUAUUGAUGUUCUGACUGGUAACGUUCAUCUUGUUCAAAGCUUAUAAGAUUCAAUUUCUUUCCUUCUUGUACUUUCUUAUUUUGAUAGGUUUCAUGUAACUGUUCAAGGCAAUAAUGAUUGAAAUUAUUUUCACAUUGGCAAAGUUUACAUUCUCGCCCAUUCUUCAGAGACCAUCAAAUUUCAUUCCCCACCCUUUUCCCUAAUUUUUUAGAAUUUAGUUCCCCCCUUUGUUGUCUGUAGGUCCAGCUGGCUGCUGAAAGGUCACAUAUGUAUAUGUAUUCGACUAUCAAGUUACUUAACUAAGAUUAGGCUAUUAAGUGCCGUCUAGUAUUAUUAAAUAUGUACUUGAACCAUAUAAACUUCUUAAUUACAAUGUUGCCUUCCGUUCCUAGCCUUUGCACAAAAUUGUUUUCCCUCAAGGUUUGCGCCUAGAAUAUGAUGUUUAUGUCAUUUAUCCCAGUUUCGGCAGACAAAGGGUUAGUUUCGAACGGUUUAUUUAUUCCUGAAAGCAAAUUGUGGUGUAAGAUUUAGCUAUCACAACUCAUGUUAUCAAUUUCCUUAGUAUUGAACCAUCAAAUGCAUAUGCACAGGGGUGGCAAUUUCGGGUAACGGAUCGUGUUUGUGUCAGCAAUCGGGUCGAUUUCGGGUCAACCUAAAAUCACUUAAAAUUGAAUAAAACCAAAAAUUGAAGUUAUUACAAAUGAAAUUCUAGUUUCGGGUCAUUUCGGGUCCAUUUCGGGUCUGUCGGGUAAUUUUCGGGUCAUUUUCGGGUUUCUGUCUCAGUAAAUCGGGUUUCGUGUCGGGUCGGGUUCGUGUCGGGUUUCGGGUCGUGUCUGAUAUUGCCACCCCUACAUAUGCAUAUAUACAUAUAUACACAUACAUACAUAUAUAUAUAUAUAUAUAUAUAUUGUGUGUGUGUGUGUGUGUGAGAUUCUUUGCUGAUAAAGUCAGAAUCCUGAAUCCAGUUUGUGAGCAAAUCAUAGUUUUAUAAUUAUAUUUGUUAUCAAUACACAAGUUGGACUUAAAGACUGUAACUAAAAAAAUUAAGUUUACAAAAAUUUAUAACAGCUCUGUUAGUGUUGUGAAACUAAAAUUUGCCAACUGAUUGAACGAGGAAAGGCAUCCAUUGGUGCAUCAACUAUGUUCUCACGGUACAUUGGAGAUACACAUUUAUGAUUUGAAAUAUAGAGUAACAGCCCUUAAAAAAAGCUGAUGGAUGAGAAUCAAUUCUUCAAAGAAUGCUUUAAAUCAGCUUCGGUCAUGACAAGUGCUGAAAACUUCACAUAACAAGAAUCGUGGUUGGGCAUUGUUUUUGUUUCUCUUGCAUAUAUUAGCAAUGGCGAUGUUUAUCAAAAUAAAAUUUUAAGUUAAUUAAGAUAUAUGCCUGUAGUUGGACCAAAUGGAUUUUAGACUUGCAUAAAGGGUUGGAGAUUUGAGGAAGUUUUGGUCAUUAGACCUUGUAAUCAUAUAUAUAUUUUCUCUUUUUUAGCACAUUCUUUUGUGAUGGUAUGUUGCCAUCAAUUUGUUAGAUGCUUUUGCUAUUUCAUAGAUCUAGAUACUUGAUAGGAUCUUAACAAGUGAAAUUGUUAAAAGACAGAAAAAAAGAAGGCAGUCUUCGUUUCUACAGACCAAAGUACAGUCAUAUCUUUUGCGAUGUGGAUGGUGAGUAUUCUUUAUUUGAUAUUUUGCUAAUGUCUUAUUUUGUUUUUAUCAGCUUUAAGUGCUUACAGUUGGUAUUUUAAAUGCAAGGAACAUUGCUUAACAGCAAAAGUCGAAUCACCGAAGCAACGGCAAAAGCUUUAAGAGAGGUUAUAUCAAGGGGUGUAAGGGUGGUGAUAGCUACAGGGAAGGUAAGCAUAAGGCUUUACUGGCCUGUCUUAAAUUGUUUCUGUUUCCUUCUUUGUCAACACUUUCAAGUUCUGGAUGUUUAAUCAUAAAGUGAACUUUAAACAGACUCGCCCAGCUGUCAUCAGUCUUUUGAAGAUGGUAGAUUUGGCAGGAGAAGGUGGCAUUGUCUCGGAUUCUUCUCCUGGUGUUUUUGUGCAGGUUUGUUCAUCGUGAUAUAACUUUUGUCUUUCAUCAUGUUUGGUGCUAUAAAUUGCCAUAUAUAGUUUUGGAGGAUCAAAUUAAGAUGACAACUUUCCUAAUUUGGCAUUUUUACAAGAUACAGGGACAGUUUGAUAGGUCCGAAAUAAUUUUUAAUCUAGAAAGAGCUUGUAUACAGAUUAUGAUCGGGUUUUAUAUCAAACUGGCCACCCGUUACGUCAAAAUAUCUCACUUGAACCACCCAUCUCAUCGGCGACUCAUUUAAGCCACUACAGAUCAAAUAUAUAUCAUUUUACCCACAUCACUAUUCAUACCUCUAUACUUAAUCAUUUAUCAAAAAUUAACCGUUUAGCUUUUUACUGCAAAACCACUUCGAGUACUUUCAUAAUUGUUCCUAGUAUUUAUCAAAAUAAUUUGGGAAUUUCUAAAAUAACAUAACUAUGUUGUUAAAAAUAUAUAUAGCUAUAAAUAUAUAUUUAUGUGAUAACCCUAACUAUAUUGCUUUAUAAAUUCCCAAAUUAUUUUGAUAUAUACUAUAUACAAUUAUGAAGGUACUCGAAGUGGUUUUGCAGUAAAAAGUUGAACGGUUAAUUUUUGAUAAAUGAUUAAGUAAAGAGGUAUGAAUAGUGAUGUGGGUAAAAUGAUAUAUAUUUGGUUUAUAGUGGCUUAAAUGAGUCGCCGAUGAGAUGGGUGGGUUAACUCAGAUAUUUUGACGUAACGGGUGGCCAGUUUGAUAUAAAACCCGAUUAUGAUCGGUUCCAGUAUUUUAUGUUAAAUUACAAACUUAAAUGAUAUUCAAAUAUAUACAAUAAUCAAAGGUAUAUUUUACAGUGAGUAAACUGGACUCUGGAGAGUCAUAAUGAAUCAGGCUUUAAGACUAAAAAUUCCCAAAUUUUUGUAUCGGAAUUGCUUAUGCGAAACUUAGUGGUUUCCUUUUUUGAACUGUUCAAACUCCUUAAACCUGGUGGAACGUGGAAAGGCCUUUCAGACUUGGUCUUUUCUAUUUCUAUGCUUAUCCAGACUGUUGUUUUUGGAUAGGAACUGAUAUUUCUUUGGAAAAUGAUACCUAACUGUAGCCUUUAUAUUAAUUUCAACUGCAUAAGGUUGAAUGCUUCAGACACACAGAAAACUUGCCGAAUUAAAAUUAAUAACCUAUGAUUAUUGGCUAUCCACAGAUAAUAUGGACUGUUACGUAAAGUAAUUUUGGUUUUAUUGUAACGCUUCGAAGGGUGAAAGUAACUUUUCGUCAAAAGGUCAAUCUUGCAAACUUGUAUCUUAUGUAAUGUUUUAUUACAUUUCUAACUAGCUUAUCACUUUUAAGGAGAGAAUAUAAAAAAGACGAAAAAUGAUUUUAAGUUGGACUUUCAUAUUUAGCGUAUUAUAAAGUUGAUAUUUUUUUCUCAAGUAUAUACAUAUUAAAAGAUCUAGAAAAAAAGAAAGGUCUGUAAUACCAUGUGAUAAGCUUUCAAUUGUUUCCCAGUUAAAUUGAUACAUAAAAUAAGAGGUCCUUAUCAGUCUUGGAAAGAGUAGCCUACGAGCAAAACAGAGUCGGUUAGGAUCUGUAAUUGCAGGUUGAUUAAGAUCCUAAAUUGACGAGGAACGAAAAUAAAAAUAUAUAAGGAGUCUUUUAGUUUAGUCCUAUCUAGAGUGGAAAUUAGUGUAAAUUUUUUCAAUGCGGUGCUAGUAGCUUAUUGAAUAUGUAUUAGGUUAUUUAUGAUAACCGCAAUUUGUUUACGGGGCUUAGUCCAUUAUAUAAGUGAUGAAAUCCCCACAUAUUAGCAAGACAUGAUAAAUGGAAUAUUUUUUUGAAUAUUGAAUGGAGCCCCCAUUUCUGUUGGGUUGCGAUCCGUCAUAACUAACCCUUCUGCGGUUGCCUUGGGGUGGUGGAUUUUCUGCGGUAAAUCCACUCAAAUUCUUUUAAUCCAUCUCUAUACAAGCUGUCCUGCAUCGAUUACUUGUCAUGUAAAUAUUUGUCCUGCAAGACCUUUUAUAUCUUAACAAGUAAUCAUCGUGACACACUUCUCUUGUAUCAUGUUAGAUUUUUAUGUAUGUUUCAUUUUGCAUUCAUUAAAGUUCUAAUGUUCAGUUGAUUAGCUCCAUGAAAUAUCAAUCUAAGUUUCUAGUAAUUUACAGGGAUUGCUUGUUUAUGGUAGACAAGGCCGUGAGAUUUGUAGAAGGAACUUAGAUCCAGAUGUAUGCAGAGAGGUAAUUGCUUUUCUGCUUGUUUUGUACUAAUCUUCUAAGACCAUUCUUAUCAGGACCAUACAUCAUUACUAUUCACUAGUGGUCUUUAAAUGAUAUUAGUUAAUUGUUGAUUUCGUAAUGAGCUGAUAAUCUGAAUUGAUUGGUCCUUAAUAUUGGGUAAAGUAGUGCCUUUUGGGGUCCUUUCUUUCCGUGGAGUAAGCUGAUCAUCCUGAUGCAGAACUUGGUGAAUUAUUUGAUAUGGGAAUGUUGGAUGCAUAUUACUUAAUUCUGGUUUUUAGCACGUAUAAGGCGGAAUACUGACAUGUAUGCAUAAAACACAUGUUAGUUGUUUCUAUGCUAUUUCCUGGUAGCCCUUCAGCUGUGCAUUCCCCAUUCUUAUUUUAGUUCCUUUUUUUUCUAUGGAGUAAGCUGAUCAUCCUUAUGCAAGACUAUUUUAUUAUCCCAUACAGGAAUGUCAUCUGUAGGGUUGUAAAUGAACAGAGUUGUUUGUGAACAAAACUCGAAUCUGUUCUUUUAUUAAAAGAACGCGAUCAGCUCGGACUCGUCUAACUCGAAUCGGCUCUGUAAAAUUUGUAUAUAAAAUAAUUAAUAAUUUAAUAAUUUAAGUUGACAUUAAAUACGAUUACAUGAAAAAUGAAAAGUGACUUGUAAGUCUGAAAUUGACUUGAACUAUGGAAGUUGACUUAUAAGUCAUGAAUGAUUCUAUGAGUACAUUAUCAAAAGAUAGUUGGAUACUAUGGGGGCACAUGCUUAAAAAAAUAGUUAGACAUUAAGAUGAGACCGGAUAUAAUUUGUAAAAUAUAUUUCAAGAUUGGUCAAGUUAAAAAUAUAUGAAUAUAUGCGAUCUGUUUGUGGACAACUUGACUGUGUUCGAACUCGACUCGAGAUCGGUUCGACUCGAAUUGUUCAUGGGGUGUAAAUGAGCCGAGCCGAGCCGAAUUCUAGAGUGCUCGUGUAUCGUAUGUUAAAAAAUUAGCGAACUCGAGCUCGAGCUCGAGCUUGGAUCGAGUCAAAAAUAUUGUUUGAGGAUCGACUCAUUAAGGAAUUACUCUGUUCACAAACAGCUCGCGAACCGCUCACGAACAUGUCUACGAGCUGUCUCACGAGCUUUUGCUCACGAACCGCUCAUUAACUCACGCUUACGAACAUGUCUUACGAAUUUUUGCUCACCAACCACCCAUUAAUUAUUUUCACGAGCUUGUUUAAUAAACUUUGCUCACGAGCUAGCUUAUACUCAUAAAUUUAUUUACGAGCUUGUUUGUUAUUUAAUAUAAUUAAAAAAAAAUUAAAAUUCUAACACUAUUUAAAUUUAUGCUCUAAGGAAUCAUAAAUUCAUAAUAAAUUAUCCAUUAAUGAAACUCCCACAUCCUUAGUCCAAAGGGUUCACGAACCAUGUUCACGGGCAGAGUUCACGAACUACGCUCACGAGCCAAGUUCACGAACUUAUAAUUCGAACUUGUUCGCGAACUAUCGAAUCGAACUCUACUGUGCUCAAGUUCAGCUCGUUUAUAAAACGAACUUUAAAAUUGUGCUCAAGAUCGACUCGUUUAUAAAUCGAACCGAGCUCGAACCGAGUUUUUUUCGAACCGAACACCGAGCGAUUAUCGAGCGUAUCAACUCAUUUACAGCCCUAUAAUCAUGAGCAAACUCGUGUUCGGCUGGUCUAUUAUCGAGCUGAUCUUGAUCACCACUUUCCGUUCGGUUAGAACACUCGGAUUGGCCAGACUGGUUUUCAGAAAAUCUUAAACUCGACUCGGCUAAGACAAAACUCGGCUCGACUCUGUUCAUUUGCAGCCCUAGUCAUCUGUGUGGCUUGAUUAACUUGGCACAUAAUAGGGUGGCAGACUGACAUUUAUGCGCAUCAAACACAUCUUAGUUUUUAUGUCAGAUACCUGUUUUCCUUCAGCUGUGUAUUCUCCAUUUUUAUUGUCUCAUAUUCGCCAACAUCUGGUUUUUUCUUUCAAUCCAAAUCAAAAUGAAGUUGCUCCUGCAUAACUUUUUUGCUUGCUUUAUGAAAAACAAUAGACGAAACUUGUAGUCCCUUCUUUGUAUUAAAAUUAAUAUUAGAAUGCUGUGUAAUCAUAUUGGAUGAUGAUACUGAAAUUUAGAAUUUCUGAUAAGUUAAUACUUUGUAUGUUACUCAAUCUGUUGUAAAAUCUUUUUGAUCUAAAACAAGUAUAGUGUCUCUGUUAAGGAUUUUAAAUAAAGUAAGAUCCUAAUUCCUAUUGCAUGAGUACAUCUAGAUUGUGAUUGCAACAAUUAUUUGAAUGUUAGUGGCUGCUUUAUUAAAUAAUGAAGGUAUCUGGAUCUUUUAUACCUGCAGGCAUUUCUUUAUUCUCUUGAGCAUAAAGUUCCACUUAUUGCAUUCAGUCAGGACCGUUGCUUAGCAUUAGCAAAUCACCCUUUUGUGGACUCACUUCAUUCUGUAUAUCAUGAGCCAAAGGUGCCUUGCUCUUAAGCUGUUUUCUGGUAGCAUAAUCCGUGUACUUGUUUUGCUAGGUGUUCUUUACAUAAUUCAUUUGAUCUUUUAACAGGCAGAGAUCAUGCCUUCUGUGGAGCAUCUUUUGGCUAGUGGUGAUGUACAGGUAUAUUACUAAUGUUUUGUUGUUGACACAUAUCAACUUACACUUAUAAAAACUACAAGAUAGCUAGAACUAAUGUAGUAGCAAGUGGGGCCAAAUCCUAAGUUUUGAAAUUAUAUAAAUUAUGUAAUAUCAAAAGUUCUAGUUCUUUGUACGCUUGGAACAUUUAAUGAACAUGAGGCAUGUGUCUAAUAUGUAUGUUAGCAGUAUAGCAUAUGUCUACGCAUAUUCACUAGCAUACUAUAUAUGUGUAUUUGCAUGAGCCUGUUACGACCAUCAUCAAGUUAAUAUAUACUCCCUCCGUCCCAUAAUAAACGUCCUCUUUUUUUUUCAGGUUUUUUUCAUGCAUUUCCAAGCUUAUAAAAAACAUACUUGUACAUAUUAUUUUUUCGUGUUUUUUGUUUUGUAUACAAAUAGGAAGUUCAAAUUAUAAUACAAAAUAAAAAAUAUGAGAAAAUAAUGUCUACAAUUAUGUUUUUUAUAAGCUUGGAAAUGCGUGAAAAAAAAUUAAAAAAAAAAAGAGGACGUUUACUUUUUUAGCAGAGUCCUCUUGAUAAGCGAGGAUAUAUGUAAAAACUUCAAUGUCUUUUUCUGGCUACUAUACUCGAUUUAGGUUUAAUGCAGAACUUGAAUGUAGUCAAAAUUGAGCAGUGGAGUUUUAAUCUGGAAUGAUUUUUGUUGCUCUUGAAAGCUAUGAUAUUAAAAAGACACGUUUCAGGAAAGAGGGAGUAUAGAUGUACAGACGUACAGUCACUUGUCCUCUUGUGGUUCGAGGUUUAACAUAAUUCAAAUUUUGCUCAAAAUUUGCAGAAGGUGUUAUUCUUAGAUACGGCUGAGGGGGUGAGUACUACACUGCGGCCUUAUUGGUCAGAAGCCACAAGCAAUCGUGCCUCUGUAGUCCAGGCGCAGGAAGACAUGCUGGAAAUUGUACCCCUUGGAACUUCGAAAGGGAGUGGCGUAAAGAUGUUGCUCGAUCAUUUGGGUGUCCCUGCUAAGGAGGUUUGUUAGCCAGUGUACUGCACAAUAUUAUUUUACUAAAUGGGGGCACUGUCUCUUUAUACUAAUUGACGCACUAACAAAUGUUCCACUUAUAGAGGGCCUGUGUUAACCAGAUUGUGAUCUUAUAUAUAUAUAUAUAUAUAUAUAGGGUGAGACUCAAAUGAGAACUAGUAUGUUCUGUACCUCAUAUUUAUGUGUUCUGUAAAUAUUUUUCACUAUUUUUUGCUUCAAUCACAUAAAAUAGUCUCUUAAUUACCUUUUUGUUUGCACGACACAUCAAAACUUUAUAGAACACGAAUUAUAGAACAACUAUGUUCUGUACAUAACAUGCACGUGUUCUCAAAAUAGUUUUUCAUUUUUUUUUUAUAAAUGCAUGUUUUUUCUCAUUUUUGGGUUUUAAUUUACAGAAAUAUUUUGAAUAAAAAAUUUGUAAAAUAAGAAGAGUUCUCCGGAGUUCUCCAUAGAACCCAAACCUAUAUAUAUAUAUAGAGAUAUAGAGUUAAGUUCUAUGGAGUACAUAAAAACAUUGGAGUAUUGGAGUACAAAUCAUUAUUUUUUGGUUUGAUCCUAUAUAAUAUCUUUGAUUAUCCAAAUUUUGAUAUAAUCUAUCAUUUAUAAGUUGUCUUGCACAUAAUUGUCAAUUAAUCAUUAAUAUCUUUCAACUUUAACAAGUAUUAAGAUUAUUGUUCUGCUUAUUAGUUAUAUUGCAGAAUAUAGAGUCCUAUGAUUUAUAAAAGUAAUUAUUCUACCAUUUGAUCACGAUGUUUAUGUUGCAGAACAUAAUGUGCAGGUUGUCAAAUGUUUACAAAUAUUAUUGGACAAAAAAAAAUUGAAAUUUAGAUGACUAAAUUACAUUUUAUCAGACUUUGUACUCCAAUACUCCAAUUUUUUAUGUACUAUAUAUAUAUAUAUAUAUAUAUAUAUACAUAUAUGUUACAUAGGGUCGCGCUCCACAUAGAACCAUUAGGCAUAGAACCUUAGAAGUUAGAACCAUUAGCUUAUUUCUAGUAUUAGUUAGGGUUCUGCAGCAGGAAUGCACAUGAAAAAAUUGUCGUAUUUAUGUAUUAUAUUUUGAAAUUACUUGUGAACACACAAAACGAUGCAAAAAAACAUGUAUUUAGAUUUAGAUCCUAGUAAUCAAUAUCACUUUUCUCCACAGUAGAUAUUCUUAAACCUUGUAAUGAGUAAUAUGAAUGUAGUUCCCUUUUUACACAAGUGGUGCUCAACAUUAUCCUAUUGUGAAAGAAUAUUUGACUGCGAGUUGGUAAAACAAACAUUUAGUGUAAAUAAGCCGGGUGCAUAUAUAAAAAGAAUAAGAAGUAUAUAUCUGGUAACUUGAGUAAUUGACUAUAUCUAUGCAUCUACUUCCUCCACUAAUCUUCUUUCCAUUUCCACCAACCACAUGCAACCUAGGUAUUUCAGUGAUUAGGGAACAAAGUCAAGGACCCAUCUUUAUCUUGAUAAGUUUCAUAGACCUGGCCAAUAUCCUUUUAUCUCACAGUUUUGUGUUUUCUUCUAGGUGAAAUCUAUCUGAGAAUCUGGUAUUGAUUUAUAAAGUUAUGAAGUUUGUGAAAUUUGGUUCAAUUAAUAAAGAUAUGAAGUUUGUGAAAUUUUUGUUUAUCAGGUCAUGGCUAUAGGUGACGGGGAAAAUGACGUUGAAAUGCUUGAGCUAGCUUCUCUAGGAGUAGCUCUUAGUAAUGGAUCUGACAAAGCUAAAGCUGUUGCUGACAUCAUUGGUGCGAGCAACGAUGAAGAUGGAGUGGCCGAUGCAAUCUACCGAUAUGCAUUCUGAGCAUGUACACGAGCUUCAGUAUGCACUUAUUAUUUUUCUUUAAUCAUGACAAGUUUACAAGGUGAGGAUUUUACCGUCAAUAGUCCAGAUAAGCAAAUAGCAUUCUUUUAAUCAGUACCUGUCUCACGCGCGCGCGCACACACACACAUAAUUGUCAGUUGUUUCACAUCUCGUUUCCACUUGCAUUUGCAGGAUCUUUUGCAAAGCUAUUGCCCAUGGAAACCAAGAUACUUGUGGCGUUCGAAGGAUAUUGUAUCUAAGAGGGCGGAGACUGUACUGUUACAAGAGUAUGGCGAUUGUGCUAUAGCUAUUGCUAUUGAUAUAUUUAUGAAAUAAAUUAUAAUAUAUAUCACUCCAUUUUGUGAUAAAUAUAAUGCUAAAAUAACAUAAAAUUAUAGGCGGUACAAAAAAUAUAAUAUAUAUAGUAAUUGAAGUGUUCUUAUAUCGCUAAAAAGGUAAAAAGGGAAAAAAGAGAAAGGGAAAUAUAUAAAAAUACCUAUUAAACUGAUCACAAAAAUACGCAUUUUAGCUCUUCUGGAAUGAUAUUUCACCAACGGUUUGGGCACUUGAAGGAGACCUUCUUCGCCUUCCACCUAAUAGGUCCUGACAUAAGGUUAGCAUUUUAGUUCUAGAAUGAUAUCUCACUGACGGCAUGGCCUUAGAGGCCUUCUUUGCCUUCCAUCUAAGUUACGCCCCGAUUACGAAAAGAGGGAGUGGACCUGUGCAGUACCAGACAUGAGCUGAAGUUCACAAGAGAUCCCAUUUCUUUUAUUGGGUUCUGCUAGAGAUGAAAGAUCCUGAGGACUGAAAUGACUAAAGAUCUCCUUUAUUGUUAAUUUCUCUGCUCGAAGCCUCAUUUGUAUGAAUAGAUAUUGCCUCAAUUUCAUCAUUUGAGAUUAGUUAAAGUUGCACAUUAUCCAUUAUACAUUUUCAUUCGAGACGGAACUAAAUAUUUUUUCUUCCAGGUGCGAUAAAAUAAAUAGAAUUUAUACCUAUUUUAUAAAGAAGUUAAGGUUAAUUAAAUUUGAAACAAUUUAAUAAAAUAUAGAACUAAUCAUUACAAAAUUGGUGUUUAAAUGCUGACAAUUAUAUUUUGAUGACGAAUUAUAGGAAUAAAUUGAUUUUCACUGGGGUUACUCUAAGUCUUUAACCCAACUAAGCGAAAACAGUUUAAUGUGUGUUAUCAUCUAGAAGACUAGAACAAGUGCUUUUAAUAUUCUUGAUUAAUUAAAAAUCUCUGAUCAAUUUUUAAAGAAUAGUAGUUUGUUGAUUUACCGAUUAUACUCUGGUUUUAAUAAAAGUUCUAAUUCCAGAUUUUUAUGAUUCCGUUUGACUUAUGACAGUGACUUAAUAUUCUCUCUGGUCCGUUUUAUACGUCACCCAAACUUUUUGCACACAAUUUUAUAUAUCCUUUGACCAUCUACUUAAAGAAUUUUUUUUAAAAAAAUUUGUUUUCAUAUAUUAAAAUAUGAGAUUUUCAUUUCAAAAAAGAAAAUUUUAAAAGUAUUAAUUCUAAGUAUGUGGUCAAAACACCUAGAUUUGUGUGUAAAAAGUCACAGUUUCUCAUAUAUAGAACACAAAGGGAGUAAUAAUUAUUAUAUAUAGGGAUUUAACGUGACAAGUGUAUAACUUAAAUUGUUUGCUUGGGUAAGUUUAUAUUCAAAUGAUUAUGAGUUGUCAAAAUGUUGAUAAUAAAUAUAUUUUAAUAGAUUAUUUUUUUAAUAAUAAAAUUCUCUUUUAUUACAAAAUCACAAAAAAAUUAUUAGAACUUUUUUAUUUCUAAAUCAAUACUCUAUAUUUUUAAGUUAGAUAAAAAAAAUUAAUUUAUUACACAAACCGUUUUAAAACCGGACAUAUCACAUAUGAAUAGGCUCCAUGUCUAAACAUAUUCAACUUUCAACCCAAUGAUGUACAAUCUCGAUAUAGUGCUUGUUUAAAUAAUAUUAAGGAGUUUAGUCUUUUGUAAUUUCAAAUUAUUAUGAAAAUGAUUAUAUAUAUAUAAAGUUAAAAUUUAUAUAAUUGAGUAAAAGAACUACUAGAAAUCAUAUUAAGCUUAUUUUAAAAUAUAAUUUUCUUCUAAAGUAAAUAUAUUAUAAUAUUUAGUUAAAUAUCGAUUAUUUUUACUUCCAGAAAAUCGAAAAGGAUGGUAAUUUAGGACAAAAUAAAAUAAUAUUAAAAAUAAUAAUAUCAUACAUAAGAUUAUAAUCAAGGAUAAAUAUAUAAUUUUUGAAUCAAUUUACGCAAUGUUUUCUUUUUGAAGAGAAUUUACGCAAUGUUGUUUUAUUAGAAAUCAAAUCAGCCUUGUUCAAAAGGGCAUAUUGUACACCGCAUGAACCAUCGAGAUUGUUGUGUGUAGCUCUCAAGUUGCUCAGCUCAACUCUCAGAUUUCUAACUGAGGUAAUAUUUCCCGUCAUCUUAUUCUUUUAUAUGAGUUGAAUGUACAUUUUUUACUGUGCGAUUGACUUGUCAAUUCAUCUGUCCUAUGAAUUAUUCUUCGUUCCUUGGUGUUAGCUGAUGUUGGGAGAUGAAAUUUAAGAAUGCCCUUUAGUUCUAUUGUUGUUAUGUAACAAUAUUUGUUGGUCCUAUAUCAUGUUUUCAAACUAGCAUGGCUAGUGUUUGAUGAAAGUCCUCUGAGAAUCUUUUUCCCCAUUUUUGGAAUUUUGUGCGUGCACAUUGUUUUAAUUAUUCUUCUCGCAAAUUGUACUCAAAUGGGUGUGAGUAACUACUUGAGGAAUAACCAAUUUGUUUAUGAUUACAAAUAAAAAACUAUGGAUGUUUAUUUUCACUUUUGCAGUAAUGAAAUUUAGCUUAAAUUUGGUUCUGUAUGCAUAAAGAGUUCACUUUUAUCGGUAGUGUUGUUGGGUGCUGGAGUGUAAAAUCUUAUGCUUAAAGUUAAAGAAUUUUCUUGUUGAUCAGUUUCAGCAAGAUGUACAGGUGUUUUUUGAGUAUUGAAAGUCAUUGUUGUUCGUAAUCUGGGGCUUAGUUGGUAAGAGAUGGCAAAAUACAUGUUUGGGCUCUUAACCUUGGGUCAAAAAAUCCAAUAAGUCCCUAAUCUCACUUCUGACAAAAAUCAAUAGCUUAUAUUUUAGCAAACCAAAUCAAGUGUACAUCACCUUCUAUGAAACUCCUACUUAGUUCACCGUCUCUCCUUGAUUAGAAUUUACAUGACUCAGAAAUCACAAUAUCUUUCCCUCAAAAUGAAUUAUCAUUCAGCAGAAUCAUCUCAUUCCAAGGUUGUACAGAAAGUUGGUAGUGACGCGCUUGUGCUGACGAUGUGCCAUAUAUCUUCCACAUCUAUACUAUACUAUUAAAGCCGAAACAUUAAAAGUUUGGUCGGUCGGUACGCGGGCUUUUAUACGAAUUUUUAUAAUUAGCGGGCUUCAAAUAAAAUUAGUGAGCUUCAGACAAUAUAUAAACAAAUCAAAACAUAAAACAAAUAUACGAUCAAAAUAUAAAACAAAUAUAAAACCUAUUUGACUAUACCAAAACUAAAGUCAAACCUUAAAAAAUACUACUCCCUCCGUCCCCCUGAGUUGUAUACAUUGGGGGACGGGGACGCGGCACGGACUUUAAUGCUCCUGUAAAGUAUAGUUCUAUAAUUUAUUUUUAAGAUUUUUCUUUUCUGAAUAAAAAUUUGAAUGUUAUAUUUUUAUUCAGAAAAAGAAAAUUUUAAAAUAAGUUAUAGAACUAUAUUUUACAAGAGCAUUGAAGUGCGUGUCGAGCAGUGAAAAAGAAACGUAUAGAAUUAAAUGGGACAGAGGGAGUAUACUAUACUAUUAAAGCCGAAAUAUUAAAAUUUUGAUCGAUCAGUACGCGGGUUUUUAUAAAGACUUUUAUAAUUAGCGAGUUUCAAACAAAAUUAGUGGGUUUCAAACAAAUCAAAACACAAAACAAAUAUAAAAUCAAAACAUAAAACAGAUAUAAGACUUAUUUGACUAUACCAAAAACUAAAGUCAAACCUUAAAAAAUAUAUACGCAUCUGUACUAUUAUAUACUUAUAUAUAAUAAGCGUAAGGGAGAUAAUUUGGUCGCAUGGUUCUAUGGUAUAAGCUAGUUUAUAUAUAAUAAGCGUAAGGAGAUAAUUUGGUCGCAUGGUUUUAUGGUUUAAAAGCUUAUCAUCCGUUGGAUUGUAUAUUAAGCACCGUUAAAUUAGGACAAAAUAAACUUCUGUUCUAUAAGGCAAUUAAUAGCUAUUUGCAUGUUUAUUAUUCUUUUUCUGAAUCCAAAAUAAAUUCUCUAUGAUUUUUUUAAUGUAAAAUAAAUAUUUCCUACAAAUUUUAUUUGUAGAAUCAUAUAAAUUGCACCAUAUGUUUCAAAAAUAUAUAUAUAUAAAUCGCACCAUCACAAUUUUUAUAUAAUAUAUUUCAAAAUUAAUAAGCCGGAUUUAUGUGAGGAACAAAUACAAAAACUUUUUCUUAAUCCAAAACAAUUCUACCUUCUUAUUGCAUGUUUAUGAUUCGUUUUCUUAAUGCAAUACAAAUUAUGUUUAUCAAUUUUAAUUUAGAACCAUAAUUUAGAAAAAUAUUUAAAUCACAUUAUAAUAAUUUUAAUAUAAAAUACAUUUAUAAAUAUAAUCUAAUAGAAAUUGGCCUCACAUAUUCAACUCAAAAUUUUAUUACAAAUUGAUCGAAAGAAUUUAAUAAUUUGGCAUGAUACAUACGAGAAAAAGAAUGGCUUGAUUACAAUAGUUUAUUUGAAGCCAUUAAUUGCUGUGAUGGUGUAUUUAGAACCGUUCUAAGUUACAAACAAAUCAUAAUUUCAAAUUUUAUUUUAUUGAAAUUUUGAUUUAUUAUUUAUAAAUUAAAUUUUUUUCACGCCAUUUAAAAUAUAUCAAAAAAAUUUAUAAAUAAUUAAAAAGUUCCCGUGCCUUGCACGGGCUAUAAGCUAGUAACCAUUAUACCACUGUGAUGAAUAAUCUACCUCACCUUUGUGUCCUGCAAACCCCCAUUGUAACUAUCUGCCCUAACAUAAUUUAUAGCAGAAGAUUAAAUGAAAUAGAGUGCAUUUCAGUGGUUACAGAAACCUGUCUGGGGUUUUUAGAGGAGUUCUAAUAGAACAAAAUAUUUUUUAUUGGUUUGUGUUUGUAUAAUUUAUAUGCUCAUAGCUUGAGGGUUUUGGAGAAACGACUUGUGUUGCCUAGGGAGUGGUAUAUAUUUGGCGGGAGUUGUUUAAUUGGGCCAUAAGAUCUAAAUGAACAUGAGGGACUGAAUUGAUUUUUGACCCAAAUUUAAUGGCCAAAAUGUGUGUUUUGCAUUAUAGAUGGAGGCAAGUUAAUACCAAAAGGUCCAAAACCAUAUGCUUCAUUGUGUCAUUUUAGCAUGCAUCAAAAAUCAUUUCGGUGAACCAAAACUGAUGUAGAACAAUAAUUAAAGUGGAUAAAAAAAAUAUAUUUAGGGUAAAGGCUUAUGCUCAGUUAUUACAUGUAAAUUCAAGUAGUGUGCAGAUUAAAAUGUUGAAGACAUAUAGCUUUAUGUUUGUGUAAUACAAUCAUACCAGAGUUCAUUUUGUUUGUGUAUAUGUUGUUAUUAGAAGCGAUAAGCAAUGUUGCUUUUUCUUGAGUUUUGUUGGUUACUAAUAGUGUAAUACUUGAUAGUGCAUGUGAUUGGUACUUUAGCUCUAUCGAAGUAAACCUUUGAAUAUCUCUAGCUAAUUGUAAUCGUCAUUUUUUCAUUUUGCAAGUUAAGUCUCUAGAUGGCAAAAAAGGGAUCCUCAUCCUCAAGUAAAGCUUCUCAAGCCCCUGAGAAGAACGUAGUUGUAGAAAAAAAUAAAUUGUAUCCUACAAUACAAAAAACUGUUGGUAAGAGAAAGGCUGUAGAUCCUAAAGUUUUUGGUGCCGAGAUUGAUGAAAUAUUUUCUAGCAAGAAGAGAAAGAAGCCCGAGACUGAAGACAAAGUGGUGGAAAAUAAAGCUGCUACUUCGACGAAGAAGAAGAAGAAACCUCGUGCAACAAAUAAACCUACCAACGACAUCAAAGGGCCUCUGGACACACCUGCUGGACAAAGAAAGAGAACAAAAGAUGGGCUUGUUGUCUACACAGAAGAAGAAUUGGGCUUUGGCAAGUCAGACGCUGGAGGUACCCGAUUAUGCCCUUUUGAUUGUGACUGUUGUUUUUGAUAGUGACAUAUUUCCCCCAUCUAAGACUAAUUUUCUCAACCCAUUGUUAUGGUCGAAUUGUAUGAGUUCUUAGGUUUAAUACCUUUUUGGUUUUGUCUUAUGAUGAUUAGCAUUAUUUGCAGUGAAAAGUUGUUAGUAAUUUGUGGGCACAUAGGUGUACUAUAUAGCCCCUCGUUAAUUCUUGAUGGACACAAUCUUUUCAAUUUCCUUGUCUUGGGCCAUGAUUUUGUUAACCUGAUAAUUGAGGUUGAAGAUCUGAGAUGACAUUUUCUCAAUCUUUUCAGAAUUUCAGUAUGUUGCUGAAGUUGUGACUCACGUUACUGCUGUUGUUACACUACAUCAUAGAUGGCUUACAACAACCUAAUUUGAUUUGAUGUUAUCAUAAACCCCAGUUUGAUUUUGUUAUAGUCCAAAAAAGAGUGAAAAUAAUAUUUCAGGUGUGCUGGACUGUUUGUCGUUAGCUGUCUAUCACAUAGGGUUGUCCCCGACGACUUAAAAAUUUGCAGAAACUCAGAUAAUAUUGACAUGAAUAUAAGAAUAUUGCACUUAAACACUAAGCUAGUACAACAAUUACUACAUUCUUCUGCACACAAUUUUUCUUACCUUAAUUUCCACACAGACAGAGUUGGUCCAAAAGCAGUUGAAUACAUGAAUUCUGAAAUCUAAAUCUUGCACUGAAAAUAUGUUUUUACGUAUUCCACAAUAAGAUGAGUGAAGUAGGUCUUGGGUUGCAGGGCUCUUGGUCUCUCAUCAUAUUCAAUUUCAACAAUGUUUACAUGAUAUCCUCUGUAUGCCAGAUGUUGUUCUAUCUUCUUAUGUGAGCAAUGAAAUCGUCAAAAUCCAGGCGACUAUCGCCUCCUUCGCCCACUGAUAUCUUGACAGCUUUGCACAGCUCUACCGUUCUCUUCCUCAUCUCUUCUCCUUCUGCUGAUGUCAUCAACUUUCUAACAGCAUUCUCAAUCGCCAACGAUUCCACCAACUCAUAUCUGCGUGACCAGUCCCUCACCACAACUCCGAUGUUAAGAACCUCGGUUACUAACAAGGCAUUAUGGGGUUGAUCAGAAUGCAUAGGCCAUGUUGCUAAAGGGACUCCCAUUGUAAUACUUUCCAUGCAUGAAUUCCAUCCGCAGUCUCAUAAACCCUCCUGUUGAUCUGUGCGCCAGGAUUUCCAACUGCGGUGCCCAAUCUCUCACUACAAUCCCCUGCCCCUUGAGUUCUAUUCUUUCUUCGUACUCUUCUGGCAACUCGCGUGCUCUCCCAUCCCCCCCAAAUAUGUCUCCUCUAUCCGCGUCCCGCAAUACCCAAAUGAACUUCUGGCCACUGUUCUCAAGCCCAACCGCAAGCCUCUUUAUCUGUUCAUCUGUCAAAGUAGUUGUUGAUCCGAAAGAAACAUAUAUUACAGAACUUGUAGCUUGUUUGUCUAGCCACUCCAAGCAUUUGUGGCCUGAAUUCUUGCAUACCUCUACGGGGUUGAAUGGUCCGAUAACCCAUUGUUUGGAAUUCACCUUUGCAAGCACAUCAAGAAAUGGAGCUUCGAUUGCUCUACACGAAUUGAAAAGCGCGCCUGAUCUGUACUUGUUAUGCUCCUCCUGGCUAUUAAUGAAUUCCAUAACUUGUGGAGUCAGGGUAGACGCUCUAGAAGGGACCUGUUUGGCAAUCUCAUCACCGAUCCCAUGAGGCCUCCCCAGAGUUUCCCAGAAAUAUGAUGAUAUUCGGAAGGCUGAGAGGGACUGAAAAGAGUAGGCUUCUGCAUUUGGUAUUUUACCCACGUCCUGAAUAAUUGAGGGAACAGAAUCAUAAAUUACGACAAGCCUUCUGGUGGUGGGAGAGAGCGCAAAUAGUAGUUUGGUCACCGCUUCUCUAAGGUGCAAGACGGAGUAAAAAGAGGGUACAAGGUGGGAAGGAAAUCCAACUUCGGUUUGUGGGUUGGGAAGAGGAGAGGGAAACGCAGGUACUGAAAAAUCAUGGAAUUUCAUCAUAUCAGGAGUCGAGAGUGGGUUCCAGCCCUGGACUCGUAGCUUGGCCUGGCGACUGUGGAUGGCGGUGCUUGCAUAGUGAACGGGAAUGUUGUAGGAAGAAAUGAGACGGGAGAGGUGGAGGAGCUGGUUCAGAUGGCCUUGCGCGGGGAAGGGAACCAUGACUACUAUCACCGCAUGACUCUCUUUUGCUUGCUUCUCUGCUUCAUCCUCACAACUCAUCCUUGGCUUGUCUCCUCAAAUCUGCAAUAUCAGUCUUGAUAACAAGCAGGGCCGGCCGGCUCUUGGGUAAGGCAACCAAGACUAACGCUUGGAGCGUAAAUUUUUCCUUUACAAUCUUAAAAAAUAGGGACACAGGGACACCAUUUUGAAAAUUUGUCUAGGAUACUCAAAUCUCAGGAGCCGGCCCUAAUAACAAGUGGAACACCAACCAAACUAUACUAGUCUUCUCUUUGUGAUUUUAGGCUUCCCCGGAAGCCUUAAUAUGACAACAAUACAUGCUGUCAAAAAUCAUUAUGCAAGUUUAAAAUAAGAAUGGAAAGAUAUUGAUGAAUAAAGAACGUCCAGCGAUUAGUUUAUUACAGGAAUGAUCCAGUUGAUAGAUGCUGACAGGUUGUGUUUACAUCACUAGCCUGCUCUACAGAUAUCAACCAUUGGUGACCGACAUUUCCAAAACCCAAUAUUGGUUCAACUAGAAAAUAAUGAAUACUUCAUAUAUAGAAUUCAAUACUAGAACAUGCCAAUAAUUUUCUUUUGCAUGGUGUACAUUUCAUACAAGAAUGUAAUUUUCGAUGAAAUAUUUUUUUCAUAAACUUGUCAAAGAUCACAUUAUCUAGCCAAAGAUCCCCGAGAAUUUAGAUAUUAAAACUUAUAUGUGAAAGGGUAAAAAAAAUAAAUUCAAUAAGUCUAAUCCCAAAAAAAUCAUCAUCAAUAAUAUUUAAUCAUCAUCAUAUAUGGUCAAAAAUAUCUUCUAAGUAUGGCCAAAAUCAUAAAAUAUUGUAUCCAUGUCGGCAGAAGCACACUGAGGUGGCACCCAAGAAAAAGAGUAGCCGCUUUCCCACUAUAAUUCUAUUUUCAUUCCAACAAAUCAAUAAAACCAUCUCGGUUAAUCUGAAUAAAAGACACGACUUCCAGUUUCAACAACCAAUUUUUCUACAAAUUUCCUUUCUGAGAGUCUGAGACUAAAAAGACUUGGUUUCGCCACCCCUAUUUCAUUAGUAGAGCUUUAUUGAAAAAGACCUUGAAAUAGGCCGAUCACUAAGGUUAGUAUUCCUUUUUUUUUUGACAGAACUAAGGGCUAGUAUUAAAUAACCUAAUCAAGACACUAAUAUACAAUGCAUAUAAGUAUUUGCACAAAAAAUUUAAAAUUUUAAAACAAUUAAUGUCUAGAGAGUCGAUCACAGUUUAAUAAGACGUGACUUGGGUUAGACAUGCCAUUUUUAACACACUUUUUUUUCUUUGAUAAAUAUCUUGAAUGCACGUCAGGAUUUUAACAUGCCAUUAAUUUUAUGUGUUCUUUUCUACUAUUACAGUACAUAAAGUUGGUACUUUUCGUACACCAACGUUGCAGUUCUAAUUUACCUUAAACUUUUAAUGUAUUUUCUGUUGAGUCCGGGUAGCUGGUGAGUUAUUUUUCGUCUGUUAAGUAGAAUAUCAAGUGAUCAGGAUUGUAAUAAAAUUUUAAUAUAUUAGCACUUUUUCACUGUUAGACACGUAAAAUAAUCUCAUCCAGCGAUUAAAAUACGGAGAAAAGACCCUAGAUCUCACAAAAUCUAGAAUUAAUGUCCACAAUAACAUAGUUAUGAGAAAUGAUCUCAAAUAUUAUAUACAGAUGAAGUUGCGUUUUAUUUUAAAAUACACAAUGCUUGUGUAGUGUUUUAUAUAGCAACCUAACGUUAUUUUGUGUAGCGUUUUCUACACCAUAAAUCAGUAACUCAACACCUCGCAGUCUCUGAUUACUUGUUGUGGUAUGACUAAUGACUUACUUUGAUAAUUCAAUUUGGGCUUAUUUUGAUUUCUGCAAUUAAAUCUCAACUAGCUUUUUUAAGCAGCAUUCAAAUUGAUGGUAUAUGAUAAAAUAUGCAAUUAGUGAGUUUAGAAAUCUAUGCAUAGAAAAUGAUGAAACUAGAAUUUGACAAUCUAACGCUUUUUGUUUUAAAAUAUUACACUAGGGUAAAUCAACGCUAUUUCGUAUAGCGUUUUAUUUUUUAAAAUAAAAAUAUCACACAAUAUGUUAUUAAUAAAUAAUACCCAAGAUCAUAUUCCGAAUCUUACAAAUUGAGACAUUAAAUUUUGAAAUUAUGAUAACCGGAGUCAAUGUCCUAAAAAACAUUGGACAAAUUCUCAUCCAAUGGAUAAAAUACACUUAAAAUAUAAUAAAAUUGGUAUAUCAGUCAUAGAAGGUCCUGCCAACCGACCGGUACCCUAAAUUGUUACGGGAACCGGUACCUUUUCUUUUCUCAUACACAAAUGUUAGUCUUAAUUUAUCGUAAACUGUUAAUGUUAAUGCAGAGAGUCAGAGACUAUAGUGUCUUCUCAUCCAUGUGUUACCUUCAGGCGGUGCUUUCGUUUUUUACCAGCGGUAAUAAUCGAUUAUUUUGAACCAUUUGACUUGAUCAAUUCUAGAAUAUAUGCAUAGAAAAAUUAGGAUUACAAAGUUGCAUGCAACAAGUCCAAAAACUAGUUUAACACAAUAAGAUGUUCAAUUCUUAGUAACUUAACAAUCAAACACUUGGAAACACAAUAAUACCGGGCAGCACAGGGACAUGCAAAUAUGCUAUUAAACAUAAUAUCAAUCACAUAUUUCAAUAACAAAACCAAGCACUUGAUAACCCAAAAAUACCCGAAGCUAGUCUGAUGCACUUUAUAACCUAGAUAAUAAGACUGACUGGGGAAUACAUCAGCAUAUGAUCAACCUAUCAGUUUUGGGGAGAGGUUUUGACAACCCCACUAGCAGGAACAGACUGAGAAGCAGGUGCUGCAUUUGCGUCGGCGGUAUAAGCUGGAGGUUGCGAAUAGGCAUUUCCAUAGCUAUUGUUAUAUGUAGGUGGAGGCUGUCCAUAGGCAGAUUGCGUUGCAGGAGGUGCACCAUAUGGUGGUGGAGCAUAACCUGAAGCUUGUGCAGCACUAUAACCAGCUGCUGGAACUCUUUGAGCACCAGGAUCUGGCUGAGCAUAACCAGUUUGUGACGGGGGAGGUUGAGGAUAGCCUGGCUGCACCUGAGCAGGUUGAACGUAACCCCCUUGGGCAGAAGGGGACUGCUGGGUCUGCCCAUAGGCUUGUUGGGUGGCUGGAGGCUUCUGAGUUUGAGGUGCUCCAUAACUCGAGACAUACCCUGAAGGCGGUUGAGACCCGUACCCAGUUUGUGAAGUUGGUGGCACACCAUAACCCGGCUGAGUUGGCAUCUGGGAUGGGUAGGCAGAAUUAGGACUGGGCUGCUGGCUAGUGUAUCCUUGCUGUCCUGGAGCACUUGAAGGAGGUGCUUGAUUGCCAUCACCUUGAGCCCCAUAAGAUGGAGUUUGCCCAUCCGGUGUUGCGUUAGCAACAUUAGAAUAUCCUGAUGUAGUAUUAUAUGCUUGUUGCUGAUCAUAAACUGGCUGUGGCUGACUAUACCCAGUUUGAGGAGCAGGUGCAUGAUACCCACCAUAGCCAUCUUGGGUGUAACUCUGACCUUGUUGACUGUAACCAGAGACCGCUUGUUGACCGUAAGCAUAGCCAGAAAUAUCUGCAGAGCCAGGAGCGCCAGGUGCCUGCUGUGGCGGAGCUGGCUGCUGACUGUAGUAAUCAUAGGCACCUACUUGAGUAGUCUGCUGAUUAGUUGCAGCAGCAUUGUGGUCCCAGCCCGUACCAUAUCCACCAGAACCAGGUUGUGAAGGAUACCCAGCAUAUUGUGGUUGAGUCAUAUUAUACUGUGGUGUUUGUCCAGAAUAACCUCCAGGCUGAACAUAUCCAUAAGCAGGAGGUCGGGCCUGAUAACCUUGAUGAGAAUAUCCUGUUGCUGCAGGGUUUCGAAGACGGUUCUGCACAAAGUUGUCAUCUCAAAUGAACCAAAUGAUCUAAUCCAGUAAUCCAGUUUACCAUGGGAAAUACAAACGAAAAGAAAAGAAAAAAUCAUUUAUGCACUCAUAGCUAGCUAAAAACAUGCCCGAAAAACAAAAUAAUAACACAGAACAGCUUACCAUAUUAAGUACAAGAGAUAAUACAAAAUUGUAUCAAGUGCAAUUAAGUAGGUACCCACAUACCCGUACUUGUCGAGAGGUACUAUUGCUAUGCGAGCAGUCCCAUCCUCUCCCUAUUCGAAGUGAAUGGGUACAAAAGAAAGUUUGCCCCGGGAGAGAAUAUAUGAUACACGAGAUUGUACAAAACAAAGCAUAUGCAAUAUCUCAUUCAAAUGACAAAUUGAAAACAGCAUGAAUAUAUUAAGCAAACAACCCAGGGAAAAAACGAGUAGAAAGUAAGCAAAUAUAAAAUCAAAAUUAUGAGAAGACAAGGCACGAUUCGUCUCUUAAAAAUUUGAAGGCCAGUGAACAAUAGUUUUAUCAAAAAAUAAUUUGGCAAGUUCAAACCGAAAAACUAAAUUUUGAUAAAAACCUAGAAAAAGUUCAAGCCCUGUUUUUGAAGAGAAAUUUUAGACACUGGCACAGCAUGUAAACUCAAUUUCGAUACUUGAAAAAGGUCCAACACCUUGUAUACACUUGAUCCAAAAAAUGGUAUCCAGUGCCCCUCCAUGCUCACAAGUAUGGAAUUACCAGCAUAAAUAUCAGAUGUCCAAAAUUAGAUAUAUAAUAUAUUCAAUACAUAAUGUAAAUGCAUAGUCUUAAUUGCCAGGAUUACUAAUCAUUAUAGUGUCAACACAUAGAACUGAUGAAGUUUGGCCUCACAACUUAAAGUCCAGCACUUAUCACAGAUAUCAAAGUUUAUCACUGUAUACUCAAAACCUGGUGUCAACAACUAGAGCUCUUGACCAAUCCUCAACUAUAUCACCAAUUCAUCGCCCAGCUGUUAUAAUUAGAGACACCAGCCAGAAAAAUUAUGUGCACGCUGCCAAAUGGCCCUGCAGGGGGAGUCCGAAUAUAUACACACACUAUCCAUCUAUCACAGGUAUACACAUUUAUAAACAUUACAAUCAAAAUUAUGGUCCCAUUUCAUUUAUGUAAAAUGCUUCCUAAAGCACAUUUGAAGCAAACUACUCUAUCAGGAAAAAAUGCCAGUUCCAAUAAAGGAUAAAUAGCUUUAAUAGAUGAUUUUAUUACAGAUAACAUACCCAGCCGUGUACUAAAUACUAAAUCACUCACAAUAUGAUUCAUCAUCCUUUGAUCUGAGCUCAUUGCACAAAUAAGCAGUGUCGAAAAACACAAUAUAUAUUCAGCUGUAAGAGCCUGAACAGGCUUGAUGACAAGAUGAAAGAAGUAAGAUGAGCAAAAACAGAAGGAUCCAUACAUAAACUGGGGAACAAGAAGAUGGAUAAUAACUUGAACCAAAGCAAUGAAUACAAACAGUAAUAUUAUUAAUUAAUAAGCAUCAUUCACAUGCAUAUAAACACAGAAAAUAUACAUGUACAUUGCUCAAAAAUAUUAUAAGGAUUAAAUGAGAUAUUGACAAAAAACUUUGACAAGGUGAAUGUAAUUAAUAGAGAUGAUUAAAGGGAACAUAAAAAAAAUACAAAUUGAACACAAUAAGCAACUGUAACUACAAAUCAAUUUGAUAUCACAUACAGCCGUAUUUCUUUGCAUACAUACACAUACCUC